UGUGUGUGUGUGUGUACACACUAUGUAUACACACACACACACACACACACACACACACAGAGCAUUAUACUCAGCAACAGAAAUUAUCCACAAGAGUCCAUGCUUUAUGGUUCUAGUUUUAUGAAGUUGAUGAACAGGAGCAGUUGGCCUGUGGGGAUAGAAGUCUGGUUUGUGAUUGCCUUUCACCCGCUAAGAUGCCUCUUCAGUUUCUACCCAAAGGCUACAUAUAUAUUUAUCUCCAGGCUAUCCACAAAACAGAGAUGCAUGAUUCAUGCUUUUCAUGCCAUUGGGAAUGGACAUCCUCUUCAUAGCAGGGGUAAUACAGGAGUGUUAGUCACCAAAUGCUUAGUAAAGACUGUUAGCCAGAUGAUUUACACAAAUCAUCACAAGACCACAGUCAUCACAAGACUACAGUCUACCUUUUGUAUAAAUGCAACCCCAGAAUCUGGGAUUAUAAAAGUACUUGCUGCUUUUGCAUUCUUUGCUGGGGGACGAGCAGAGAAUGCAAAGAGGGAGAAGGGAAUUUUCUAGGGAGAUGGCAUUUCUCUGCACCUUGACUGGGGUACUGGUUCGUGUGUGUAUGUGUUGGCAAAACACCAUAGAGCUCUAUACUUAAUAUCUGUGCGGUUCAGGUAGUUAUACAUGAAUGAAAAUAAAAAGCACAGGGAGACAUAUCCUAAUGGGCAAGCCUGGUCAUAUGCUUGCAUUCAACUAUUAGAAAACUUCUUUGGUUUUUGUAGCGGGAGGUAGCGGCCAUCUGCAAAUACAAAGGGUGUUUGAAGGAAGAGCAGUCAUUCAUGGCACAGGUCCGCUAUACCAUUGGAUUCCACCUCCUGCAGCAAAAAUCAAGUGAGGACCAUGGUCGAAAGGAGAUUCCACGGGAAGAAACCAGGAGUGAACGAUUCCAGUUAGAGUGGAAGACGUGUCCCGGUUUGUCCGGGAUUUUUUCUGUGUGAGCACUCGAAGUCUUGCAUUCUGAAAAAUCCUCCAUUCCAAACCCACUGGAAUAGUUGGUCACUUUCCUUCCAGCCAAAGCUCUGUCUCCAGUUAAGUCUGAGGGAGACAUUGAGGGAUCACACUGGAGAAAGCUAACCCAGCAGAGAUCAGCUUCGAAGCUCCUGUGGGUAUGAGGUCAGUGUGCAAUAAUUUUCAUGGAUAGAGAUUCACUGGAGGUCUCCCAAGCCCCACCAUCCUAAACCACAUGAGAACCUUAUGCGUAUUCUUUCAUAAACUGUGAUCCAUUUUUCUUUUCAUACCACUCAACCUCCUAAAACCAUCAUCUCUGUGUUUUCACUCCCAUUCCCUAUAAGCCCCAUGAUGGUUGUCCUCAUGUCAGGUUUAUUCAUCAGUGUAUCUGUAGCACAUGUAAAUGGCUGUCACAAAUGCUUAAAUGAAUGAUUGAAUGAUUUUGUGAAUGAUCCAAUCCAUCAAACAUUGCUGUAGGCUUCCUUUGAAGGCCAGGAUCAUGACACAUGGACAUUUUUGAGGAUUUAAGCCACAGUCCUUUAAGCAAAACCCUUCCAGAAAGACACUUUCAUCUUUCUCAGGGGCUACAGCAACCAGUGCACAUGUAUUUAAUUAUUCACUGCCUAUUUUUAUGUUACACAAGCUCAGUUUCUCCCCCUCCAUUCUCUUUUCCUCAGUGGUGGCAAUAUGGAUAUUUAAGUUUAUUACUUAUUUUUCUAUUUCUUCCCUUUUCCUGUAGUCUCCCUCUAGAGAUGACAGUUACCUUAAACUUUCACCCACCAAGAUGCCUCUUCAGUUUCUAACCAAAGACUCCGUAUAUAUUUAUCUCUAGGCUAACCACAAAACAGAUAUGUGUGAUUCAUACUUUUCAUGUUAGUAGGAAUGGGUAUCCUAUUCAUAGCAGAGGUGAUACCAGAAUAUUAAUCACCAAAUGCUUAGUAAAUAUUGAUACGCAGAUGAUUUACACAAAUUAUCACAGGACCACAAUCAUCACAAGACUACAAUCUACCUUUUGUAUAAAUGCAGCCCAAAAAUCUUGGAUUAUAAAAGUACUUCCUUCUUUGGACUUCAGAUAAAUCUGUAGUAUCCUCAAGAGUCUUUCAAAACUUGCACUGUCUCCAGCAAAUCUUGUAGGAAGGAAAAAAAUAGAUAUCGCUUUGCAAUUUAUGUUUCUACCAGCAUGCAGUUGAGUAGAUUCAAUUGACGCCAAAUGUUUUGCACAUGCUAAUUUGUGUCCCCUAUUGUCCUCCCCUGUUGACUUCCAGUUAAUGCAUAAUAUGACGUGGGACAUCCCUCAUAAAUUCCAUAUCAUCAGAGUAAUGUGGCUUUUAAAUUAGCUCUGUCGCAAAAGGACGAUGGGGGGCCCAGGAGGUUUUGUUUUUUUUUUUUUUUUUAAUUUUCCUUCUGUUCUUGAAGUGUGAUAAGUCUAAUUAUAGUUGGCAGCAAACAGCCGUGUUUCUUCAGCUAGUAUGGCUUGUGAGGGCUGUUGGAUUGCUAUGAUAGCUUCAGAUUUGUAUAGUAGUUUCUUAGACCCAACAACUCAAGAUGGCUCCCAAGUGGGAGGAGUUCUAAAAGAUUAAAGAGAGAUGAACAACGCAGGAAGUCAGUGACAUUGAUCUGUCAUGGCCAAGUACAGUGAUGCAUUCUUGUGGCUUAUUUUGCUCAUGGGAGUUAAUUAACAAUAACAUUUUCAGAAUAUUAGAAUAAUUUGGAGAAGAGCAUAUGACAUACCUAAAUUAUGUGUAUACAAGAUAAUUUUUGUUUCUUCUAAUACUCUGCUAAUCUAAGGGGAUUCCUCCCUGUCCGUUGUCUUUUCUGGGGGGAAGAAACCAAAUGUAUAGUCGUACGUACUAUAGGAAGAACAGCUACAGCUCCUUUCGGCUCUGGUUUAGGAAACACGCUCUCAUGAACUUUCCUUCUCCUUCUCCUUCUCCAUACCAGGGCUUCUCACGCUUUCAGUGAGCACAGGGAUCAUUCUAGGAAUCUUCGUACAAUGCAUAUUCUGUUUAGUAGGUCUGGGGUGGAGCCUGAGUUGAGGCACUUCUAACAAGCUUCCCGGUGAUGCUCCUGCCGCUGGUUCUUGGUCCAUACGAUGAACAGCAAGAUUUUAGAGGGUGUUAAGCAGCAGAAGUGUAUUUGCAUGUGGAUGUCUCUGCACUAGAACUGCAUCGAGAGGAGAAAUAAAACAGCUUACAAUUCUGGGUGAAUUGGGUAGGUAUUCUUCUAGAAUAGCUACCAUAAAUUGAGCCCUGCCUGUAUUAUUUAACACUAACGACAGUACAGAGAGGCACCGAUGCUUAUCUCUGUUCCACAGCUGAGGGGCUGUAAGCUUACAGACGUUUAGGGAUGUGAUCGAGUUGCAGAGCUAACAUCCAGUGGAAUUUGAACCCAGGCAGUUUGAUUUCAGAGUCCACGCUGAAAUGCCUGUACUGCUCGUGGACUGUUACCCUGAAAUGCAGUUUAUUUGUCUGGGGUGUAAUGUCUGGAGGUUUUUGCAUUUUCAUCAUUAUAAACCUCUCGCAAAUAUUAAUUGAGUACCUAAGGCCACUCCUUAAGGGUUUUCUCUUCUUUUAUUUUAUUAUACUUUAAAUUCCGGGGUAUAUAUGCAGAACGUACAGGUUUGUUCCAUAGCUAUACAUGUGCCUUGGUGGUUUGCUGCACCUGCCUACCCAUGAUGUACAUUGGGUAUUUCUCCUAAUGCGAUCCCUUCCCUAGACCCCCACCCCACGACAGGUCCCACUGUGAGAUGUUCCCCUCCAUGAGUCCAUGUGUUCUCAUUGUUCAGCUCCCACUUAUGAGUGAGAACUUGGGAUAUUUGGUUUUCUGUUCUUGUGUUAGUUAGCUGACAAAGGUGGUUUCCAGCUUCACCCAUGUCCCUGCAAAGGAGGUGAACUCAUCCUUUUUAAUGGCUGCAUAGUAUUCCAUGGUGUAUAUGUGCCACAUUUUCUUUAUGGAGUCUACCAUUGAUGGGCAUUUGGGUUGGUUCCAAGUCUUUGCUGUUGUGCACAGUGCUGCAAUAUGUUUUGUAGCAGAUAAGAGAAGAUACUGUGGUUCCAACUGAAGACCACCGCAUAGCACUCACCGAUAGCUGAAAUUCAGGAAAGUACUUACACAUCCAGAAGGGGUGAUUUUCUUUAUGUAUAGAAAAAAAUAUAUAUUUAAAUCAUUAUCUAUAGUAAUUAGCUGAAUGGAAGAACUGGCCUAAAGAGCAGUAUUUUCUUUCUUUCUUUUCUUUUCUUUUGUAAAAAGGAUAUGUUAGGAACACUAUAGUGACUUGCAGGUUAGUUCUUUGUUUAUAUUUAUACUUUCAAACUUUUUUUUAUACAGGUAACAUUCACAUAAUAUGAAAUGUGAGUUUUAAAGAGUGCAAUUCAAGGCCAUUCAGUAGAUUCACAGUGCUGUGCAGUCAUCACCUGCGAUAAGCACAGAGAAAGAUGCUCAACGCCAUUCAUCAUUAGAGAAAUGCAAAUCAGGCCAGGCAUGGUGGCUCACACCUGAAAUCCCACCACUUUGGGAGGCCAAAACUCUUGAACACCAGAGUUUUAUACCUGCCUGGACAACACAGGGAGACCUCAUCUCUACAAAAAAUAAAAAUAAAUGAGCUGAGUGUGAUGGGACACAUCUGUGGUCCCAGCUACUUAGGAGGUGAGGUGGGAGGAUCAUUUGAGCCUCAGAGGCUGAGGCUGCAGUGAGUGGUGAUUGCACCACUCCCCUCUAGCCUGGGCAACAAGAAAGACACUAUCUCAAAGAGAGAGAGAGCACACGAGAGAGAGAGAGAGAGAGAGAGAGAGAGAGAGAGAGAGAGACAGACAGAGAGAGAGAGAGCGUGCAUUGCAAAUCAAAGCCGCGAGGAGACGACAUGUCACACCCACUAGGAGGGCAGCUGAUAUUAAUAACAGAAGGUAACAGAUGUUGUCCAGGGCGUGGAGAAACAGAAACUCUCAGGCCUUGCUGGUUGGAGUGCAAAAUGGCACGGUAGCUGUAGAAAACACUUUGGAAGUUAAACCAAGAUAAACACAGAAUUCUCACUCACUCUUGACCACUGAAUGCAUUUGCCCUUUUCCAGCUCCUGUUUUUUCUCACGGCUUCUUCCAGGGCCUCUGUCUUGAUUGCUAAUCGGUGGUUCUUCGUCCUGUAUCCAUUUAGCAGCCACUGUGAAAUGGUGCCAUACUUACUACUUUAGAUGCCAGGGAUUAUCUCCUCAUUCCAAUGAUUUGACUGUUGUCUAUUCUUAGCUGGUACCAGGUUGUAAAGUGGAAGGGUGAUUGGUUGGUUGGUUGGCUUGUUGGUGUUUUUACGUCCAGAUCCUAUGUCAUUCCAGUAUUAUUUUUACUGUCUCGUGUGGGGUAAAGUCCCUCUACAUUGCUGUCUCUACAAGGCUAACUCCUUUGACCCCAGCAGAAAGAACAGUUGAUGAUAUUUGGUGAAAAAAACAAAAAACAAGAAAAACCUAUUCUGUGACUCUUCUUCUCCUUGGCAGGAAAGUCUCACUUGAAUCACUGGGCAGAAUAAUAGAGGCAGAUGGAGGUUUAAACCUUAAUUCCACCACUUGGUGGUGUGUAUAAGUGUGGGUCAGUCUUUCAGCUUCCCAGUGAGUCUGUUUCCCAAAUAAAUCAUGGAGUAGCACUUAUAGGAGCGGAUAAUGAUGAAGUAAGGUAAGCAGGAAAGCAUUUAGGGUAGCAUCUGGCACACAGCAGCACUCCACAUCAACCCUGGCUGUCACCGUAUUAUUAUCACUGCUACCUCCGUCCUAGUUUUCACUCUACUGCAUAGUUUGGGUCUGUUUGCACACUACACUUCUUUAAAACACACACAUACUCUUGAGAAUUAUCUCGUUGUCUUCCUACAAGCUGUCUUUUUCCUUCUGCAUGAACUUUUAAACCUUCUCCACUAAGACAAGGGAACUUUAAAUGGUUUUCUUCACAGAGAACUAGCCUAAGGAUGAACAUAAAUUAGCUGAGGGUGGUAGCCCACAUCUGUAGUCCCAGCUACUUGGGAGGCUGAGGUGGGAGGACCACUUGAGCCUGGGAGGCUGAGGCUGCAGUGUGUGGUGAUUGCGCCACUGCACUCUAGCCUGGGCAAUGGAGCAAGACCCUAUCUCAAAAAAAGAAAGAAAGAAAAGAAAAGAAAAAGAGAGAAAAAUGCAAUUCAGAACCACGAGAUUUUGAAAAAAUGAAUAAUGUCUUAAGAGAACGGAAACUUUAUUACUCUCAGGCGUACACAGCCACAGCCACAGUUCAACAGUCUCUGUCCUGUGCAGGGCCUCAGGUGACUUGCUUUUGAUGACACAGAGAAGCAGGUUGCCCUCUGUCAGUUGAAGAACCCAUGUUUUCAGCAUAAUGCCCUGAUGUCAUAUGUGGCUUGGGGAAUCCUGCCUAUGACUCUGAGGUCUGUUUUGUUAAUGAUGCUUCACCACUUUAACAUUCUCGAAAGUAGGUUUUGGCCUUAGAAUCUGUGAAAUUCUCCCUCAGUUGUUGUUCUUUAUUUGUAGAUAACCGUGAGAUCAGCUGGCUGGCUAUAAAAAAAACUCAGUCUCUAUCCGGAAAUUUCAAGAAUGCCAAAUCUGUGAUGUCUGCAUUGAUAAAUUCUUAUACAAUGCUUUAAACAGACUCAGAUUUUAAAAUGUAUUAAGUUACCUAACUACUCAUUUAAAAUAACUCUUUCAAAAGCCCGGCUUGUCUUACCCUAGCUGUAGUUUUUUUUUGCUAGUGAAACGACCAGUGGAUUACUGUAUCUCAGAUUACAUUCAUUCUAUUUCUAUAUUGUAAAUCCAUUGAAGGGUCGUUUCUCUGACUCCUUGGAGGAAAUUCCUGCCCAGAGCCCCCCCACAAGACAUUUCUACAUUGUAAAGCAGCACCAAGAGGAAGCAUGAGUGAAUCAAGUUCUAUAAAGAGGGAUCCUAGGACAAUGUUCCUUUUAGAGAUGGAAAAGCUCUAAGAUAUUGCCAAGUAAAAGAAACCUCUCUUUCAGAGGUGGAAAAUAACCUAAGUUUUCACACUGAGUUGGGAGUAGGACACAGGUGAGAACUCUUAAACUCUGCUCAGUAAGGGCUCUAGGUCUUCCUGUCUUAGGCUCUGAAGGGAAACAGACUGCAGUCUCUCCUGAAAUAACCUGGGAGGGAACUUUGACAUCAAGAUAUUCAACCUCCUACUUGUAGAGAUAGGGGGCUCUGGCAUUCGUCAUUCAUCUAACAGGUGUUUAUGGAGCCCUUCACCAAUGCCAGACACUCUCCUAAACAAGUUAUGGCAGUGACCAACACUGAACCGUUCCCUGCUCACAGGGAGUUGGUCACAGUGCAGAGAGCAGACAGUGAAUAGGUGAGUCAGUUAUCUGCUGAGAAAGAUGACAUCAGUGUUAUGUCAGGGUGACGUAGUGGUACCUGAGAUAGGGCACAGUGAAUGGAACAUUUUUUCUAAGUGCAAUGGAAAGUCAUUGUAGAGUUUUAAAUAGAGGAGGGCUAGGAUAUGCUUUAUGUCUUAAAAACCUGUCUGACGCCUAGAUGGAAAUUUAAUUGUGUAAAGAGCAAGAAUAUCACUUCUAGGCAAAUGCUGUAGGUCAGAGAAAAGAUGAUGGAAGCUGCUAAGAUGGUAGCCAUGGUAUCCACUUAGCUGGUACAGCUACGUGGAUGGAGGAUGGAUGCUGGACAUAAAGGUGAAGUCUGGACCCUAGAGUCAGUGGGAGAGGUAAGCGAAGAAGACUUACCAACAACUUUAACCGUUCAGCGUGAGCAUCCGAAGAGAUGUACCCAAAGAGAAGUUUGCAUCAGGCUCUGUGCAGCAGCUAGAGUUCAUUUUGAUUUACACCUUUUUAAAAUUUAAUUUAAUUUUUUUAAUUAAAGAUAUCAGGUCUCUCUCUGUCACUGAUGCUGGAGUGCAAUAGAAUGAUUGUAGCUCACUGCAGCCCCAAACUCCAGGCUCCAGCAUUCCUCCCACCUCAGCCUUUUGAGUAGCUGGGACUACAGGUGUGCACCACCAUACCCAGAUAAUUUUUUUUUUUUUAGAGACAGGGUCUUGCUAUGUUGCCCACUCUGGUCUCAAACUCCUGGCCUCAAGUAACCUUCCUGCAUCUGCCUCUCAACGUCCUGGGAUUACAGGUGUGAGCUAGCUUGUCCUCCCAACAGCUAUUUAAAAAAUAACGUUGAGAUCUGUAAGCCACGCCUGACCAGAGGGUGGAUACUUACCUAUUUCUCGUAUUUCUUGAGUAGCACCUCACAUAGGGCUGAAUUGUGGGGUGGACUGAAUGCAGGGAUAAGUGCAGGUGUACUGGACAGUUUCACCCUACGUGUGCUUUCCUCUGAGCCCAAGGACUGCAGCUGAGAAAAAAUGUCUCGAUGGGUAAUUGCGUGAUCCACUGCCCUGCGUGGGACCACAGUCUUAAGAUGCCUGUUAUGCCUUCGUGGGUGCCCCAGUUGUCUUCUUUUGUAAGACUGUAAACUUCAUCAGCCUGGCCUUGACUUCCUCUGGAUACAAUAGUGGGAACCACACAAUGCUGAGUCACAGUUACAAGGGGUGUCUGUCAUCACAGGGCAGUAUCACUCUGCUCCCAGGCACCCUGCUGUUUAUCAUCCCUCCUGUCUCCCUCUCCCUCCCCAGGGCCACGGUCUUCUUUGGCAGCGAUCACAUCCAAGCCAAUUUCAAUCAAUAGUUUUGUACAUUUCAAAUGGAAAUAAGCUCCGCGUUUAGCAGAUGAUGAGAGUUUCACUCAAAAUGUGGCAUAUUUGUACCCCCUCCCUUAGGUCGAACAUGUAAGUAUUCUUGAGGAGGGGAGAAGAUGCCCUAAGCUUAAUGUUUAAAAUCGUUAGGAUGGCAUCUCCUCCAGGCCACCUGUAGCUGUGAACUCAGUGUUAUAUAUCGUGAACUCCAAGUUUCUCUUCAAAGAAUCAGUGUGUCAAUGUGCUCCACUCUCUUAUUCUUUAAUUCUCCACUUUAAAAUUCAACUUCCUGGUUCUCUUUGCCCCCUUUGCCUCUAGUUUUGGUAAACAACUUUCCCACCAGUUCUAAUCAGUAGUUCACAUCUGUUCCCCUGGUCACCUGCUUUGACAUGAGUCACCCCUGGUCACCUGCUCUGACCUGUUCCAUAACUGUCCUUCCUGCCAAACUACCCACCCCACCAGUCUGGCUGGUACCUCUGCCCUCUUUACAAUAGCCAAUCAGAAUUAGCUUAGACUGCGUGGUUCAACACUAGCCAGUAGGGGAACAACACAGCAGCAGGGGCUACCUGUGUCAGGAAUAAAAAGCCCUUCCCCUCCCUUGUCCACGUGUCUGCUCACUGUUGCUCCAUCUGUGAGAUGCACCCUUCUACAGAGGUAAAUUGCCUUGCUGAGAAAAUUUACAUUUGACUACUACUCGAGUACUAUUACUCGAGUUUACGUAUAACGUCAGUGACUCUGAAAAUUUGAACAGCUGCCCCUCCUUAAGAUUCGUUACUGCCUGUGACUUGACACAAUGGAAGGGCAGGGACCCCUAAGACUCUGUGAACCUUUGUUGGGUUGGCAUGAGCCAAGCCUGCCAGAAGAGACAUUUUCUUUCUUGACUUUGACUUCUGGCUCGGCGUGGGAACCCAUUUCUUUCCUCUCUGAGACCUUUCCUCUUGCGUGUUGGGCUUUGUACUUUUUAUACCUUACUGUGGCUCUGACAAGGCCUUUACUGCUGCUUUGGGUUUUGUUGUUGUUGUGUUGUUUUCCACUUAGAUGCCCAUCUGGCCUGGAUGAUUUUCGCCUGGCUGGAAGGAGACACCUUGGCAGGUGAAGAGAGAGGAGAACCUGCAGGAUUAUGUGAAAAUCUUUCGCUGAGGUUCACACAGAAGCAUCUUAGAGGGAGUUAGAAUCUCUUUCUCAAAUCUUUAUAAGACAAGUGUUCUGAAAUGUCACCACAGAGUGUACACUGGGAUAAGAAGUAACAUCUUUCCAGCUACCCUGCAUUGGGAAAGAAAAUAAAAAAGAACCCAGGAAGGAUAACAGAAGAUAGAAAGUCCAUCUUGAUAUUUGGGGGACAAAAAAAUACAAGGACAUUUUUCUUUUAAAUCCAAGAAAGUAUAAAGAGGAGAGAUGUUGAAAAGCACCUUGUCUCUGAUUUCUCAUCUUUGCCCAAUACAAACAAGUACCUGAGAUGUUCUUCUGGGCAUCAUAGAGUAUUUGAUUCAGCCCCAUAACCAUGAUGGUGCUCAUUCUGGGGACAAAAGGCCCUUUGAACAGGCAUUCGUUUUAUGGUACUUGGACCACACUUUUCCGGGAAAGAAGUACUUCUGGGCCACCACAGGUGUGGUUGCAAGAAACUAACCUCAGAACUUAGAAUGGAUUCAAAUCAAGCAUAUCUAGAUCAUAGCAGAAGCAUCACCAGUGGUAGAAUAACAUCUUUUCCCCCUCUUCCAGGGAACACCUGGCAAACAUUUGCACCUAUAUCCUCAGCUUCCCUGUCUAGCUUUGGUGAAUGGGUAUUCUGGGAGACUCUGUAAUUUACUGUUUCGUAGGAUCUCAUAGGAAUUUUUCGUGUGAAUUCAGCUCUGAACUUUUCAUGAUCAAUGAUAAGCAACUCUUCGUAUUGUUUUCUCUUGGCCUUCGAUCUUGUGGAUCCAAACACUCUUUUUAUUAACUUCAUGGUUCUAUAUAAGAGAUUUUAGAAAUGAUAAUACUCCUCUCUCACAGAUACUGUAAGAAUUGAGUGAUCCUGAGCACAUAGAUUUGUCAGCAUAGGGCACCCACUACCAAUGAUAUUAUGAUGGGACUUGAUCCAACUUGGAAUCUGUUACCUAUGCCCAGUAGCAUUGUUUGCAUGUGUCUGCUUUUUAUGAUUAUUAAGAGUUUAUUUUUUUAUGGAGGAUGAGGGAAAGGGUGAUUAAGCAUAGGUUAUUUGGUUUAAACUAAUGAAUCUUUUUUUUUUAGUAGGCUGACCAUCUGUCAGGGAAGUGGCAGAAGGCAUUGCAAUAGGACUGAGUUGAAUUAAAUUAAGAGAUAAAAGUAAUAAUAAUGGCUUGCCUCCAAAUGAUUCUAAAAAUCUGCGCACUUUUCCUAGUGCCAUUUUUGCCACGUUAAUCCAAGCUACCUGCAUCUGGACCGCAAGCUUCCUAACUGGUCUCCCUCUAUCCUUUGUCUUCAGAUCCAGUCUUUUUGUAAUAGAUUGGUCCUUUUAAUAUUCAAAUCAGGUUAUCGUUCCCCAACUUUCCCCACUUCCUAGCCUUGAAUACUGACACAAGAACAGGAAGCCAAACACCGUAUGUUCUCACUCAUAGGUGGGUGUUGAACAAGAGACCACGUGGACUGAGGGAGAGGAGCAUCACACACUGGGGCAGUUGGCGGGGGUUAGGGGAGAGACAGUGGGGGGUGGGGGAAAGGGGGGAGGGUGGGAUAACAUAGGGAGAAAUGCCAGAUAACGUAUGCACCUAAAAUAAAAGAAAGAAAGAAAUAAAAAGAAAAGGGGGAAAAAAGAAACAUUUACCAAAAAAACCCAAAUGUAAAAUAAAAAUGGAUAGCUUGGCCUGUCAUCCCAGUUUUGUCUGGCUUCUUGCCUUUCUCUCUGACCCCUCUCUCCCUCUCUUUCUCUCCAGGCCUUUAUUCCUAGGGCUCUCAACACACUGGCCUCCAUGGCUGUUUUGUUGCAGCCUUGGAGACGUGUGCCUCUUCUUCUGCCAGAGGGUGCCUCCUGUCACGAUCAUUUGGCAAGGUCUGCUCUUGUGUCACAUCUCAGUUUAGACUCGAAAGAGAGGCAAUUUCAAACCCUCCAGUAACUACUUGCCACCCGAAAGAUCUCACUGUGCUAACUGCAGAUUUAUUGGAGUGGCGUUUGCUGAGUUGCUCACCGUGGAGUCCCCAGAACCCACCUUAGUGGCACUGCUGAAUGAAAUGUGCCUCAAACUACAAAGGGCUUAUGAUGUGCAUUUUCCCGCUUGGGGCUCAUGGCAUCUUUGUGAGGAAGGCGUUACUGGACAGCCUCAAAGUUGUGGGAGAGGAGUCUAAAGCCUGCUGUGGCAAAAACUUGGAAAUGGAAGAAUAGGGGCUGAAUCCCAGGGUUCUGAUGCCGAGCCUAAAGCUCUUUCAGCUUGAGUGCUGUACAUGCUAGACAGCAUCUGCAUACUGUUGUCUAAAACAGAGAUAUCCAGUGUUUUGCCUUCUCUGGGCCAUGUUGGGAGAAGAAGAAUUGUCUCGGGGUCUACGUAAAAUUCACUAACACUGACAAUAGCUGAUGAGCAAUAAAUAAAUUCACAGAAAAAUAUUUUAAUGUUUUAAGAAAGUUUAUGGAUUUGUGUUAGGCUGCAUUCAAAGGCAUCCUGGGUUACAUGUGAACUAUGUGCUGUGGGUUGAACAAGCUUGGUCUAAAAUCCUAUUAAUUAUUAUUUGUCGAAGUAGGGUCAUCACUCAGGAAGCUUUUGAAGAAGUAUUCUUAUGGCACACAUAUCACCUGCCAGAGUUUGUCCCAAGGAUGUUCUAAGCCUUUUCUCGUCUAAGCUGUACAAAGACCUUGUAAGGUAGUGUAUUAGUUAGUAUCACAAACUGGGUGGUUAAAAACAAUGACAGAAGUGUAUGUCGUUACUCUUCUGGGGCAAGGAGCCCAAAAUUAAGGUGUCACCUGGGUCUUGCUCCCUCUGAAACCCGGAGGGGAAUUCUGCCUUGCUUCUUUUGACUUCUGGUUUGGUGGUAAUCUCUUUCAUACUGUGAUUGGCAGCUCUGUAGCACCUCCGUCUGCGGCCAUUGUCAUGUGGCAUUCUCUUUGGGGUUUUUUCACAUCAUCUUCAUGUCUGCAUCUGUCUCUGUGUACACAUUUCUCCUCCUUAUAAGGACAGGCCCACCCUAUUGACCUCAUCUUUGAUUACUUUUUGUAGACUGUAUUUGCAAAUAAGGUGGCAUGACCGGGUACCUGAGGUUAGGGGUUUAUCUAUCUUUUGGAGGGGACAUGACUUAACCCAUAGCAGAUACCCAUCCUCCAUUUUUACAAACGGGGUCGGCUGGGUGCAGGGGCUCACGCCUGAAUCCCAGCACUUUGGGAGGCCAAGGUGGGCAGAUUACCAGGUCAAGAGAUCGAGACCAGUCUGGCCAACAUAGAGAAACCCUGUCUCUACUAAAAGUACAAAAAAUUAGCUGGGCAGUCUCCUGUAAUCCCAGUUAUUCAGGAGGCUGAAGCAGGAGAAUCAUGUAAACCUGGGAGGCGGAGGUUGCAGUGAGCCAAGAUUGCACCAUUGCACUCCAGCCCCAGUGACAGAGAGAGACCUCAUCCCAAAAAAAAAAAAAAGAAAAAAAAAGUUGGGGGCGGGUCACAGGUUCCAUAACAUGCCCAAAGAUUCUUAACUUGCAAUUGGCAAUGACAAGCUCAAAUACAGAUCAUGCCUCCUAAGUCCAUGCUUGGUUUGUAGACCAGACAGUUUUCAGACUCUUAAAUCAAAGCUUGGUCUGUAGAUUCAAUUAACUUUCAAAAAGUGAAGUGGGACCCUUUUUCUUGACUCAAAGUGAGCUUAGACACUGGAGGCAGAAUUUUAAAGUGCCUGAGUGCGUGUAUCAUCACUGGCUUUGCCUGCUGAAGCAGAAAUGUGUUCUUCUCCUGCCCAACUAUGCCGCAUUGAGAAUAAAGUGUCUGGUACUCUUUUACUUAAGAGGCAAGCCAUUCUUCAAUUUAAUUGGUGGGAAAAAGUUUAUUAUAAAGUACUUUUCCCCCAGAAUAGUUCCCUAAAGUUGGAUAGAGUGUCUGUUUUUUCUCCCUCCUCUUUCUUCCCAGGAAUCAUUACCAGCGCUGGCUGAUGAUUUAUAACCACAUUCCCAGCGAAUUCCACUGUUGUUAAUGACUACUUAUUUUCUAUACAAAUGAUUUUUGCUCUCCUUCCUGAGGAUAAUUAACUAAGAAACUGGUCAUAAAUUACUGAUAAUGAUCAGUUCGUCAGAGAUGAUUGUCAACUGGUGCCAUCUUCCAUAGUAACUAGAUAAAGUAUCUUUAAUUGCUGAUAACAGAACAGACAAACUGUGGUUAUUUUUUUCUUUUCUGUUUUUUUUUUUUGUUGUUGUUAUUGAGAUAGUCAUGAAAUCUUCUUCCUGGAAGUCAGGCAGAAUGAGACCUUUUUUUCUCUCUCUCUCCUGAGGGAGGGGAAAAGGAAGAAAUAGUCAUGAUUUACAGACUUCUAGAAAUAUAAUAAAUGUGACCACUUUUUGAAGUUUCAAAUAAGAAAGCUGAUCUUUCUAAAGCAGAGAUCAGAGAAAAUCUGCUCUGAGAUACAUUUCAUUUAGACCGGGGUCCUUUCUGGUCAUGUUUGAUUUUUUUUUCCCUCAAAAUCAUGUCUUUCAUAUUUGCAUCUAAACCUUGGCCUUCAAAUGGGACUUGUUUGAACUCUGGAAAGGAAUGGUAUUCAAUUUACAGGGUUCCUCACAGUUAGGAUGCUGAUUAAACCCCAGACUGCAAGCAAGACCCUUAGCUGGGAAAGAAAGAGAAGAGCUAUGGCAAGGCAUGUACCCUGAAAGUCUCUUUAAUCAUAGCCCUUAUUCUGUUUUCUUAUUGGCAAGCUCAGACUAUUCACUGGAGUAAAAAUUACAGGACUUAGUAGUAACUUCAGUUCUGUGAAGGGUACACAUAUUUUACAUAGUAAAGAGUGGUUUACAUUUAACCCAGUUAAAUGUGUCACUUUACUGACAUGCCUUGAAUAUUGAGAGUCUUGGAUGCUGCAGUCCUUUAUUCAUAAUCUCCAUCCGUCUUGUAAACUUUGGCUUUGUUUUGCUAGAUGUCAGCAACUGUCAUACAAGCUAUGGUGUCCGAGAUCAUUUGAAUAAUUUAGGCAGCUUAGAAAAUAAUGUGGUGCUUAAAAGAACAGAAAUGACGGCUGGGCGCGGUGGCUCACGUCUGUAAUCCCAGCACUUUGGGAGGCCGAGGCGGGUGGAUCACAAGGUCAAGAGAUCGAGACCAUCCUGGUCAACAUGGUGAAACCCCAUCUCUACUAAAAAUACAAAAAAUUAGCUGGGCACGGUGGCGCGUCCCUGUAAUCCCAGCUACUCAGGAGGCUGAGGCAGGAGAAUUGCCUGAACCCAGGAUGUGGAGGUUGCAGUGAGCCGCGAUCGGGCCAUUGCACUCCCACCUGGGUAACAAGAGCGAAACUCCGUCUCAAAAAAAAAAAAAAAAAAGAACAGAAAUGAGAAUUCCAAAGGCCGGGGUCUCAAUACCAAAUUGUUUGGGGGUAUGUAGUGUCCCUUUGGACUUUCUAGGUUUUGUUAUGAGAAACGAAGCUACAGCCAGCAUAGAGUUAGAAUGUAUGAACUUACAAGGAUUUUUACAACUGAUUUCAUCAAAAUUUCUUUAGUUCCAAGUUAAAAAAAAAAAAGUAAGUUUCAAAUAAGCUCUCCAGGUAGUCACAGAGAUGAGAAAGAUACAAAUAAAACAUAAAUAAAGUUUCAAUUAAAAUUAAGAAAAUAAAAAGAAUUAGAUUAUAGAACCAGGAAGCACAAAGGGUAGACUUCAGGUUCAACCCAGUCAGAAGAUUUCACAAUGUCACGAGAACUGUGAUUCUCCCAGAUGUGCCUCCCCUCUUGGUACCAGGCACCACUAAAAGUUCUUACACACAUAGUCUCUGAGAAGUUAGCAUCCUUGGCUGGUGCAGUGGCUCACACCUGUAAUCCUAGCACUUUGGAAGGCCCAUGUGGGCAGAUCACUUGAAGUCAGGAGUUCGAGACCAGCCUGGCCAACACGGUGAAACCCCGUCUCCCCUAAAAGUACAAGAAUGAACUAGGCAUGGUGGUGGUGCCUGUAAUCCCACUUAGUCAGGAGGCUGAGGCAGGAGAUUCACUUGAACCUAGGAGGUGAAGUUUGCAGUGAGCUGAGAUCAUGCCACUGCACUCAAGCCUGGGCAGCAGAGCACGACUCUGUCUCAAGAAGAAAAAACAAGAAGUUGGUAUCCUGCUGGGGAUACUGCCAAAAAUUCUAGGGAAGGCUCUGAUUGGCUAAUUUCAGUCAUGUGCAUACUUCUCAGUAAAUCCCUAGAUGAUAAGGCUGGAGUUUUCUGAGUGGCUGGUCUUGAACCUCAUCACCUAUGGAGUAAGUUGGGGGUGAAGGGAAUACAGCUCUAGCUACAUGAAAUAUACAGAUGUAGAAUGGGGCAAGGGUGGUUCUCCAAAGUAAAAUAUUUUAGAUGAAGCCAAAAACAAAAGAAAACACAAGCUCACUAGUAGACAGACCGUCUCAUAGACCCUUGCAUAGUUUAACCACUGUCCAGCUCGGUUUGCUCUGCUACCGGUUCACAAAUGCUUUCCUUGGCUGGUUUUGCUUUUGCACUGGAUUUUGUAACACUUUUUGAGCAUUGUCUAAGAGGGGCGACAGUUUCAAGUCCACCCAUUGGAGAAGUGGACACCAUUCCAUACUUCAUGACUAAAUCUGAAAUGCUGUUCACUUGUGCUUCCAGCUGAAACAUUUUUCUUUUCAUUCUUCCUGGAGUCCCUCUCCAUCCUCCCACCCCUCCCUGUUCUCCAUGGUACACUUCUCUUUUUGGGUGAGGGGGACAGAGGUCUCACUCUGUCACCCAGGCUGCAGUGCAGUAGCAUGAUCUCAGUUCCUGCAACCUCUGCCUCCCGAGUUCAAAAAUUCUCCUGCCUUGGCUUCCCAAAUAGCUGGGACUACAGGUGUAAGGCACUAGGCCCGGCUAAUUUUUGUAUUUUCAGUAGAGACAAGGUUUCACCGCGUUGGCCAUGCUGGUCUCCAACUCGUGGCCUCAAGCAACCUGCCCAUCUAGGCUCCCAAAGUGCUGGGAUUAUAGGUGCCUGCCACCAUGCCCAGCUAAUUUUUGUGUUUUCAGUAGAGAUGGGAUUUCAUCAUGUUGCCCAGGCUGGUCUUGAACUCCUGACCUCAAGUGAUCCACCUGCGUCAGCCUCCCAAAUUUCUGGAAUUAUAGGCAUGAGCCACUGUGCCUGGCCUUCGCCGUACAGUUCUAAUUCUGGGCUUCUUCCUAAACUUUUCCCAGCAUGAGCAAAAAUCAGUGUAUUAUUCUGCAUCCCAAUUGAAAUUGUUUUUUCUUCUUACAAUACUUAGGAUGUACCUACGUGAAUUUUAGUUUGUAAGAAUUCAUGCCUUUCCUGAGACACAGAGUACUGUUCUGUGAUUCUUUCUUCAGCACUUUACAUUCAUGAGAACAAUGCCUGGCACUAAAUAGAUAUUUCAUUCUGGUGAGUUCUUCCCAGACAAGACUAAAGGAAGGAGUGAAUACUUGGGUGACUCAGGUUAUCCUUUGGGUCUGGCUGUGUUCACUUAUGGGAAUAUGAGUGUGGACAUUAAUGGUUUGGAGGAGCACAGGAAAACAGUCUCAUCACCUAUGGAGUAAGGUGGGAAUGAAGGGAAUACAGCUCUAACUAACAAAUCACACAGCCACAUGUGUACCUAUGGAACGAUUUUGCAUGUUCUUCACAUGUACCCCAAAACUUAAAAUGCAAUAAAAAUAAAUAAAUGAAUGGAAUAUACAGAUGUAGAAUCAGCAAGGGUGGUUUGCAGAGGCAGAGAUGGAUUUUGUUUCUCUUGGGGGCCCUAGGAAUUCUACCCACACCUGGACCCAUUUUACAUGAUAAUGCCUCCAAGUUUUGGGUUACAGAGCUCAACUCUCUGAGAUUAACACAAAGCAAGGGACUUCCCUGUACAUCACACAGAACUAGCCCAACUCAGGAUAAGCAGUUUCUCAUUAAUGCCACAAAUGUUCUGUAGCAUCUGUUAAGUGUUGGACACACGGAAUCAGUGAGUAUGUAUGUGACUGCUGCCCUCAUGGCUGGAGCUUUGCUGCUGGGAUGGUCCAGUCUGAGGCUGCCUUUUACUACCAGGGGGAUCUCAGACUAGUUGUUUAACAACUCUAUGCCUAAAUUUUCCUCCCUGUAAAAUGGGAAUAAACAGCUACUUCACAGAGCUGUUGUGAAGACUAAAUGAUUUUACAUGCCUAGCACAAGUAACCAUUUAGCAAAUGAUAGCUGUUCCUUGUAGCUGUUGGCAGAUGAAGACUGCAGGCUGGUAGUACACACAUUCAUCAAAUGAUCAUAUUUAAAAUGUAAAUUAUGAUAUAAUUGAUCUGAAGAGGAGGUGCUUGGUGUUAAGUACACUUAAAAUGUGGAAUUCUGUAAAAGUUUUCCUGGUAAUACAUGACUAAUAUAGCUACAGAUAAGACCAUUCAUAGAUUAGAGCCAAAACCAAUAAUGUAACCAAUUUCGAUGAUUGAUAAUAAGACAGCAGUUGUGGACAGCUGAGAUGGUCCUUUUCCGACCAGGAUGUCAAAGCUACUGUGAUUAUUACAUGAGUUACAUUUCAUUUGCCAAGAUGGUUCUUCCCUCUCAAUGAGUUGGUUAUUUCAGAGUGGGAAAAGCCUUCAGCUCAGUGUCCUUCAGGAUGCAGUCUGCUCUUUACAUUUCUGAGAGUCAUUUGGAUUUCAGAAGGAUUUGCCUCUCAUCUUCCAGUCAGAUCCUAUUACCAGUCAAUUCAGAACAUCCACCAGUUCAGCAAGAGAGGAAAGGAUGGAUUUUCAUGGCUUCCACCUUUGCUUGGUAACAGAUUAUGCUUUAGAAAUCGCUCUGUGACUUCCUGCUUCUUGCUGGCACGAUCAUGUUCCUGUAUGUGGCUAAGUUGUGCCCACAUUUUUAAUAGUUGGAACAUACCGAGUAAAUAGCCACACCUUUGAAAGUUCUACUUUAAGUUGAAUUAGACAAGUGAAUGAAGAAAUAAUUAAAGUAUUUGAAGGAAGGAAGCCCUUUGUCUUUAAAAAAGAGAGAGAAUAAUAUCAGGGAACCAAUCAGACUAGUGAAUCAGAGCCCAGUUUUGGGGUCUGAGAGACUCAGGGUGGAAUUGCUAGGAGACCUUGAGCUAGUCUCUCUAGUUGUUGAAAACUGAGUAAUAUCAUCUACAAAAUGGAAUAAUAAUGCCUGAUUCAUGGAUUUGUACUGAAGACUGAAGAAGAUACUAGCUGCAAAGUAUUCAGAUGUUUACCUAGAGUGUGUUAACUGCUGAAUAAAUGUGAGCCAUCACCCCAGUGUUGUGUGCGUUGAUGACGAUGGUAAACAAGAAUGCUUGAGGAGAUUUCAUUCGUCAUUCUUUUACCUUCUGAAUUUUGGAGCCCUUGGAAAGGGGAAAAAUAAACACAAUUUUUACCUUCCUUUUGUUGCAGAAAUGUGUAAUUAUGUGAUAUAUACAUAUACAUAUGUGUACAUUUUAUACAAAAAAUUAUAUAGAACAUGUACAUGUAUAUGUAUAUGGAUACACAUACAACUCUUUGUAGUAUGUAUCACUGUAUUAUGUGUGAGAUAUAUAUUAUAAAUAUAUAGUAUAGAGUAUGUCUGGUAGUAUAUUCUGUUGUGUGAUAUACAUAAUAUAAAAUAUAUUGUCUCUUAUUAGAUUACAUAUAUUCCCGGUAUCUAUGUUACAAUCAUUUCUAAUUUUUUAAAAAUGUAUUUAUCUAAAGAAGAAGCAUCAGCUACCCCCUGCAAGUUCUCGGAGGGUUGGUUUUUAUCAUUAUUUGUUUUGACACUUGAGUGGCAGCAACUUCCAGUUACAGCCAGAGUCUUAGUGCGUAAUCCCGUGGAAAUGUCCCUAGGUAACAGGAUGUGCCCACUGCUCAUGGAAGUCAGUUCUGUUAAAUAGGGAGGAUUUUAUCUGUCUGAAUAAAUAUUUCUGGGUCUCUUCUCACUCUAUGGAUUUGAAAUGUGAAUAGGCAAGAAGGGUCAACACUAUAAAUCAGCAGUUUCCAUGAAGUCACCACCGAUUUAGAGCAGACAGCAGCUUUUGGGUUGAAAUAAAGAUCACGAAGUGCAGACGUAGGCAGCAAAUGCUGGGGAUAAUGUGUGGAGUUUAUGGGACUAUCGAGUGAAUGUUUAUCAAGGAUUGAUAGGAAGGAGAGUGCUCUUUUGGAGAUAAGUUAGCUAAUCGAUAAUUGGCAAGGGAAACAUGGAAAUACUUGGUGGAAAUUGAUGCGGCCACAGCAAUCCACACAAGUACCUGCACCUCAAACCUACCAUUCCAACAUCCAAUGUGUCACUAAGUCUGUCUAAUCACAUUUUACUCAUCUUUGUGCUACUCUUAAGUUGCCACGGGGGUGAGAGUAGACACGGUGGGAAUGAAUGAUGUCUCCAAGGACUGGAUGGUAGAAAAGGAAGGUGGAUUUGUUUUAAGGAAGGGCCGCUUUUGAGAAUGGUUGGGAGAAUGGAGGAGAGAAGGACAGCAAAAAGUGACAGGAGAAGUGGCAGGUGAACCAGGCAGGGACAGUUUCCUAAAGGGUAGAAGGAAUUUCACAGAGACAGCAACCAUGGAUGGUGCCACAUCCUGUAAUGAAUUUGAGGCUGAACAAGAGUCAUUGGAUUUAUCUUCCAGUGAGUCAGUUUUUUUAUGUUUUGCCCAACUUUUUACCUAAACCAUUCCCCACAAUUAAGUGUGAGUUCCCAGAGAGCAGGUACCAGGGUUUAUUCAUUUUGAAAGCCCCAGGAUCUGGCAGACAUAUUAGGGAUGAAUAAAUGUGUUUUGAAAGUAUAAAGGAAUGAAUGAAUGGAUAAGUGCUGACCUUCGUAACAGUUUAAUAUCCGUACAAAGUGAAAAUACCAAAGUGUUAAAUAAUUAGAAAUUGGCAAAAUGGGGCACAAGAAAUCAUUUUAGAUACAUGGUAGCUCUAGGGGAUUAAGAAAUAGUAUCCCUUUAUUUCCCUAUUGAGUAAGAACCAACUGAGAAAGAAGCUGGACAGGAAGGCAAAAGGAAGUAAACAAUCUUCUUUCAUUUAGCCCAGUGUUUUUAACGUUCUGAUCCCAUCCCCCUGAAGUGUUUGGAACAGGCAAAUCUAUAUAGAUGCAAAGUAGAUUAGUCACCACCUAGAGAUGGAGAGUGAGCUGCGGAUGUGCACCAGGGUUUUCUCCUGGGGUGACAAAAAAUGUUCUAAAAUUAAAUUGUGAGGAUAAGGGCACCACUGUGUGAAUAUACUAAAAACUACUGAGUUGUAUACCUUGAAUUGGUGAAUGUUAUGGUUUCUGAACUCUAUGUCAAUAAAACUUAAAACAAAAAGGUAUCUGCAUAUUAAUCAAAUAAACUGAAAUUUAAAGAUAUGGCCAAGUGGGCUUGCUUAUGCUCUCCUGAUCUGUGCCGGCUUGCCCAUCAGUCACUGACACUGUGGAAACCUUCAGUCAAUCCCCUGGCCUCCAGUCCACACACACACACACACACACACACACACACGCUCAGGAAUUGUGCAUUUUCCGCUAAUGGGUUAAUUUGACAUAGGACUAAGGGACUAGCCUGAGUAUGUCCAGGUUCUUUUCCCAAGGUCACCAAUUUGAUAAACUGUUCCUUCUUGUGCAUGGAGGAAUGAGAAGCUCAGGAGUGGCCCAGAAUAUUAUGUUAGAAAAAUUCUUGCACAUGGAAACACAGGGCAGGAGGAUAAGUGGGUGCCUCUAUUCUUGUGUCACAUACAUUUUAUGUCCAGUUGUGUCUGUGUUUCUAUCAAAAAUACUCUUUUUUUUAUUGCACUUUAGGUUCUGGGGUACAUGUGCAGAUCAUGCAGGAUUGUUGCAUAGGUACACACAUGGCAAUGUGGUUUGCUACCUCCAUCCCCCUUCACCUACAGGUGGCAUUUCUCCCCAUGUUAUCCCUCCCCGACCUCCCCCCCACCCACUGUCCCUCCUUUGCCCCCACAACAGACCCAAGUGUGUGAUGCUCCGCUCCCUGUGUCCAUGUGUUCUUGUUGUUCAACACCCAAUUGUGAGUGAGAAUAUGCGGUGUUUGAUUUUCUGUUCUUGUGUCAGUUUGCUGAGAAUUACAGUUUCCAGAUUUGGAAGUCCUAGACAAGAGAAUGUUCCCUGCAUUCCAUAUCAAGUGAGAUCAAAGCAUACUAAGGUCUUCUCUUUCGUUAAUUUCCUUUUACCCAAAUCCUAUCCAUUGGACAUAAUCUGUAGUUAUGAAACCCAUCAAUUCAGGGAGUAUGGUCAUGAGAAAGCUUGAUGAAAUGUGGCUUUGGACUGUACAGUAGUCAGAAGUCUAGUUCGUCGUGUAUUGAAAGACACCAUUCCAUCCAUUGUGUGUUUGUGUUUAUUUAGGUAGACACUUGCAUGUAGUUGCACUGACAUUUAGGCAGACUUGCCCAUUCUAGACAUUUUCUCACUAUUAAAUGCACAUGGCUAGCACAGUGUCGGGUUAUUGGUCAAUUCUCGUUAAAUAUUGGCUGCAUAAGGGAUUGGGGUCACAGGCAUUUGGAAUAUAGGAGGAGUGACUUCACACCACAAGAGUACCAAGGCUUUGGGGAAUUCCUGCAGGCUGUGCCACUGGCUGACAGCUUGAGGCACCUCUACCCCAACACCUUUUGGACUUACAGGAUGAACGAUCCAAGAAUGUUGAUUGGCGCCUUGAUUAUUUUCUGUUGUCCCACUCUGUUACCUGUAUUGUGUGACAGCAAGAUCCAUUCCAAGGCUCUCGGCAGUGAUCACUGUCCUAUCACCCUAUACCUAGCAUUGUGACACCACCCCUAAAUCACUUGGAGCCUGGGAAAUUAGCCCCCUAAACUAACAUUCCUUCUUUUAACACUCUGAAGCGAAAUCUGCAUUGUAUUUCUCAUCUAUAAAAAUAGGAAUCCUCCAGCCAGGCUCCUGUAGCAGACUUAGAUUUCGUUUAAGCUCAAGAUUUUUUUGAGGGUUUCUUUUUUAAAAAAAAAAAAUUAAACAAAGGCUACUAGUGACUUUGUUUGAAUUAUCCACAUGAAAAUAAAAAGCCAUAGUUUCAAAAAAAAAAAAAAAAAAGGCAUUACCGGAUGAAACAGGUUCUUUAUUGGAACCAACUACAUUUUUUUGUCCUUCUUAAUAUUAGUCUGUCUUUGAGGCACCAGAGUAUUUUGAGACUAGUGAAACUCCCCUGGCCUUCAGAAUUAUAAUUUAAAUCUUUUAUCCCUCCAGAACUCAGGACAUUUAAUUUAUCAUGAUUCAUAAAAGACCAGUAAUAAACCCUGUCUUUAUUUAAACGUGGGCGGCAUUGACUUCCCUCUGUAGGAAUUGGGUGUUCUUUAUCAACGUCUCUCCAUCUACUUAUCAGGGAUCCUGCAUGUGUACAAAAAGCCAUCUUUGUCAGUCAGAGGGAGAUUUUAUUAACUAAAGGUUCAUUUGUUCUUCAAGUGACACUAUCUCUUUGGAAUUACCAGAUGUUGUUCAAACUGUACUGGCUCUCCUUUUAUUCUGAUGAAGGCAAAUGAAUGUGGUGAAUAAAUAUCGGGCCCUGUCCUCGGUCAUCUUAAAUAAAUGUGAUAAAAUGAAAACAUGUCGCCUCUGAGGUCUCAUUUGUUCUUGGGAAGUCCACGGCGCAUUGAGGCCAACAGACAAUGAAAGGCGAAUCAGCCAUUCACUGGGUGUUCCAUUAUGAGACAUUCUUGUCAUUUUCCAGAUUGCAUUUUAGAUUAAUAUAUAGCAUGAGAUAAGGUGACAUGUACUGAGAUGAUGCCACAGUGCCGUGGCCAAAUUGUUUUGUUAUAAUCAUAUGAUAUAGACAAUUAAAUGUAUUGUGGUGAAUUUCCCUGGAAUUUUGCAUUUAAAAGAAAAAGUGGAGGAAAAUAAAUUAAUGGUAGUUUUCUUAUGACUUAUACCUGAAGGAUCUCACAGGAAUGCAGGUGUUACAUUUUGACCCUUGUUUGCUAUCACGGCAAGACUGGUGACUGUCUUUUGAGGAGGAGUAGAGGGGAUUUCACUUAACUGGAUGAUCACAGAGCUGAGGUUUUAUCAUCCAUUGCUGAGCCACGUAUUAAAUAUUUAUAAUAUUAAAAAGUAGAAAAGAACCAUCUGUCAAAACAGACAUUUUGGAAUCACCAUGCCCUUCUUUUGUGGGUGAUGCAUGACACCCGUGAAUUCAGAUUACAAAGAGGGAUAUAAAGCUGAAUCUUGCUUUCACAGUGGGGGAAAAACUUAUGAAUGCUUUGAAAAUAAUUGCUAUUAAUUAUACUCAAAUCGUAUUACAUCAAGAAAUGGAGAUGUGAACCAGACUGGGAUGGUAAGAUUCCAGAAUACCAGCCACAGUUUCUCUCAUUUAUUACAUUGUCAUCCGUCUUGUGAUUUAGCAUCAUUUUUCACGGUCUGCAGUAAUACAUGGGAUUAGUAAAAGUUGGCUGCUGUCUGUUGUGCAGAAAUGUUGAAAGAAAUGAAGUAUUUCUGGGGGUGUUGCCGAACUCCUGUUGAAGGGGUGGCUAAGUGUCGCUGAUUAAUUCCCUUUCUAUCUCUGAUGAAAUGGAGAAGGGCAAAAUGCUCCUUUCGACCAAGUGUAUCUCGUUGCAGACUGCAGCUCAGAAGUUGCAUAAGCAUUUUCCUUCUUCGGUGUAAAUUGAUUUGCUGUGAAAAAUCUCGGAUGGUUCCAUUUCAAGGCAGUGUUUUAUUUGGCAGUGCAGGACAAAUGUAGAGCUAAGUAGAUUUGUCGGCUAAUUUAUUGGUCGUUUUAAUAUUGUGCCUUCUCCACUUCGGGGUGUUAGGUACUUCACCAAUGCUUCUUCAGCUAUGUGCUGCUUAUGGCAUGCCCAACUCAUCUUAAUUAAAUUCUUUCUUGUGAUCACCUUAUUUUUGCUCAUGGGAUACGUAGCUGUCACUGUGAGACAUUUUCUAGGAAAAUUGAGAUAUAUUUCUCAUAAAUUAAGCUUUUUUUUAAGGCUCUAAAUAUUAGUCACUUAAAUUAAUAUUAACUUAUUAUGUACUCCAAAUCAGUGCUUUACAAGUCUUUCAAAAAAAUGUCUGUUGCCCGGAAGCCUGGGAGGAGUGUGAUAGAGCUGGAGGGUAACGUGCAGGUGUGUUAGGUUAGUGAUGGGUGAAAUGACUUUAUGUGGCUUGUCCCCACCUCCCAUUGUCAGAGGCAAUCAAAGAAAGCAUUUUGCAAAUCGAGAAUAAGAAAGAGGCCUUGCAGAGCAUGUUACUGCUGUGGCUGCUGCUGCUGGCACCCCUGCUGAGAUCAGCUCAGGGCCAUCUUCUCUUUUAGAAAGAGGAGAAGAGAAUACCCUGAACUGUGCAUUUAUACUUUUUUGAGAAAACAUGGAUUUCCUGACCAGAAGCGCGAAGCUUUUGAACUGUAUGACUUGAGUCAUCUGCCAUGUUGGAAGGACAUUGGAAAAUCAGCCACCUUAUGUAGAACUUGGUCAUGACUUUCAAAAGUUUUCCCUACAAAUUGACACAUGGGGCUUUCAGCUUAUGUCCUGGGGGAUGUGGCAGCUGUCAUGUCAAUGUCUAGAUAAAUCGUGCCUUAUAACCAAAGAUAACCAUCUUAAACAAAACAUGGUUAAACAAAACAAAGCAUGCAAACGGGGCUUAUUCAUUUCCUCAGCCUGUUGCUGUCUUACACAGGUGAAGAACAUGUUUCAGUUAAGAUGAUUAACAUGACUCACCCCUGUGUCUUCCAUCCUCAAGCCCACUGGCUCUUGGCCUUAUAGCCAUGCUGACUGUCUUUUAUUUCCCCAGUCACACCCAGCUCCUCCUGAGUGGGGUGUUGUGAGCAUUCUCCUCCCUCUGUCUGGAAUGUGCCCCUCCUGCCUCACCACAACCUUUUCUGAGUUCGCUUUUACUUUUCCUUUCAAUCUCAACUCAAAAAUGCGGCUUUCCCCAGGAAAGCCUUUCCUGGAAUUCCCACUUCUAACGCAACUCCGACACUCUAGGAUAGAUGAGAAGAUGUUUGUGUUUGAUCUCAUAGUUCCUCGUCCUUUUCCUCCAGUUUAUAUAUACAUGUAUUUGUGUGUGUAACUAUAUGUAUGUUUACAUAUAUAUGACUGUUUGCAUAUACACACACACAGUCACAUGUCAUGUUAAUGUCUAGAUAAAUUGUGCCUUAUAAGCAAAAGUGGCUAAUUAAAUAAAACACCUAAAUAGGGGCUUAUUUAUUCUCAGUCUGUUGCUCUCACAUGUAUGAAGAACAUGUAUGUGUAUGUGUGUAUAUGUAAAUGUGUGUAUACACACACAUGUAUGCAUAUAUAUAUAUAGGUGUAUUCACACAGCUGCUGGCACCCCCUGCUGAGAUCAUCUCAUUGCCAUCUGCUCCUAUAGAGAGAGAAGAGUUUAUUCUGAACUAUGCUUUUUUUUUUUUUUUGAGAUGGAAUCUCACUCUGUUGCCAGGCUGGAAUGCAGUGGCACAAUCUCAGCACACUGCAAACUCUGCUUCCCAGGUUGAAGUCAUUCUCCUGCCUCAGCCUCCCAAGUAGCUGGGACUACAGGUGUGCACCACCACGCCCACCUACUUUAUGUAUUUUUGAUAGAGAUGACGUUUCACUAUGUCGGUCAGGAUAGUCUCAAUCUCUUGAUCUCAUGAUCUGCCUGCCUUGGCCUCCCAAAGUGCUGGGAUUACAGGCAUGCACCACUGUGCCCAGCCAGAACUAUCCUUGUUUUGAGAAAACAUGGAUUUCCUGUUCAGGAAAUGGGAAGCUUUUUGAACUGUAUGACUUGAGUCACCUGUCAUAUUGGAAGGACACUGGAAAAUAGGACAUAUAUAUGUACAGAUACAUACACACAUGUAUACACACAUAUAUGUGUAUAUAUACCCACAUACACAAAUAUGCACGUAUGCAUAUAUCUCUCUGUGUGUAUAUAUUCCUUUGCUAAUCUCUGUGUGUCUACAUAUCUUUCUGUAUCCAUAUAUUGAACAGCUACCAUGUGCCAGGUGCUCUUCCUGCAUUUGGGAUUUGUUGGUGUAAGGAAGACAAGCUGAAGUUGUUCCCUGAAGCUCCCUUACCUGCCUCAAGUCUGGACACACCAAAAAAGAAGACAGGAACCUCUGGUCCCUUUUCUGAAUUCUCAUGUAUUGAACUCAUAUUGCAGGAAGGAAGACUGAUAUCUUCCGACACACCUGAACAGACGUUUGUCACAGGUCAUUGUAUAUUCUUCAAGCCCAUUGAGUUCCCUUAAAAUUCACUUACUACACAUGGGAAAGUCAUCCACACUUUCCCAUCUCCCUUUCCGCUAAGAAGGAGGAUACAGAAUCAUCUGUGUCACAUUGUGUGGUGGGGUAGUCGCUCUGCUAUUCUCCGUCAUUCCUGGUCAUAAAUUUGUUUAUCAUUUAUCCACAAAAAAUAAAGACAAGCCCUGUUGAAGGGGAGAAAAACUAUUCUCGUUGGGGAGAAACAAUUCUGGUUGGGGAGAAAAACAGUAAACAGUGUGCGCGAUGCCUGAGCACGUUGUGUUGGAAUGUAAGCAGUGCUAUGGAAAAUAGAAAGCCAAAAAAGAGAAGGAUGAGGAGGGCAGGAGAGCAGGGGUGGAAGAAUCGGUUGCAAGUUUAAAUGAGGAGGAGGGGGCCAGGAUAGGCGUCACUCUGAAGGCAACAUUUCAGCACAAAACCAGCUGCAUGGACUUUGGAAGAAGAACAUUCCAGCUAAGUCUCGAGAGUAGCCCUUUGUUCAGGAAGAACAGAAGAGCUGGAGGGAGUGGGGUGGAAAAUAGCAAAGAAUGAGUUGAGGGAGGAAGCAAGGUGAGGAGGAGGUACAAGUCACAUAGGGCUUAUAGACAUUCAGGGCCUUUGGCUUUUACUCGAGCAAAAUAGGGUCUUGACUUAUAUUUCAAAUGGAUAAUUUGAACUUCUGCGUUGCAAAUUGAUUUUAAGGGCACUUAAUGCAGCUUAUAGCCAUGUACUUACUUGUGUGAUUAUAUGGUUGAUGACUGUCUCUCCCAUAGACUGUAGUCUCUAGGAGGGCUGGGGUCCUAUCUGUCUUGCUCUUCACUGAAUCUCCAGGAUCAAGCCCAGUGCUUGGCAUGUCACUGUCCAAUAAAUAUUUAAUGUGAAGGGAUAAAAUGAAUGCAGCCCCCAUCAGGAUGAUGCUAGUUGGCGUUCAUCCCUCAGAGGCAUGUGCUGUAGAUAGUCAGUGUGCAAAUUUCAACUUGUAUCCAUCCAUUUAAAGAUGACUUCAAACGCAACCUCCGACCAGAGCCUUAAGUGGAAUUACCUACCUAAUUGUUGCUAUAUGCAGCUGGUUUUCAUUAGUGCUGUUUUAAUUUGCAGUCUGUGAACUUUGAUAUUUCUAACAAAAAGAAAUUGGACACUAGUCUGGAAGGCUUCCUUCCUUAAAAUGAAUAUGCUUCACGCCCAAGCAAAUGACUGGAAAGGUUCCCUGUUGUCCGCUAGGGAAAUGAUUCCUGGGGGCAGGGGCUGUCCAGAACAGACCAGAAUGUUACAGUCUGCUGGGCAAAUGAUCCAUGGUUUCAGAAUUAGUAUGCAUGCAUUCCACAAUACAUAUUUACCUGGUACUCUGUAACCAUUCAGUAGAACUGUUACAGUCUAGUAAGUAAAUAACGUGUUUUUCAAAAUUAGAAUGUGUACCAAAUAUGUAUUUACCCAAUAGGCUGUAACAGUUCCGAAGAAACCUUCCCUGUUGUUAGUCUAUCAGGCUGACUUAUGGACGUGGGUUUAAUGUUGUUUUGAAUAUGAAUACAGCGUACAGGAAGAUGUGCAGUUUUUAGAAGGGUGAGGGGUUGUCAUGUAGAACAAACCAAUUUUAGGAGGAAAAUUCAAUUUAUUUGCAGAUUCUGUUCCUGCUAUUCUUUUCUUUUUUAAAAAAAUUAUUUUCUCUUUUUUUUCUUUUUUUGCGAGUUUCUGGAAGAUUGCUAAUGACACAGGGUGAAUUUUUAAAUAUUGUAACUUAAUUAUUGGUAACAAUACGGCCUUAUAAGUGAUUAACAGACAUAUUGCUAAACAUGUCUAGGGGUUAGUUUUUUAGUGGUUUAUCUCAUGGCCUUGGAGGCAUCCACAAGGUGGAUUUUGGUGAAUGAUUUUGUGACGAUACCAGCAGCGCUUUGGCUAGUGAGUACCUAUCACUCUGGCCUGGGUAAGUCAAGCAGAAGCUAACCAUAUUCACACCAGCCAUCGAGAUACAUUACCCAGAAACAAAUUUGCUUUCAGGCAUCAAGUUUUCAGUGGGAUAUUACCAAUUUCCAUCAUAACCGAUGUUCAGCUGCUUUUCUACUGACGCUGGUUGUACUGGUAGAGAAUUAGACUCCCUAGUUCAAGAUAGCUCAUGGUUAAGUAACAUCGUAGUCAAGAGUUUGAGGCUCUGGCAUCAGAUGACUUGGACGCCAGCUCUCUGAACUUCUCUCAGUGAUUAAACUCCUUUAAGACCUGAUUACCUCAUCUGUACAAUUCAAGAUUGCCUUAUCUAUACAAUUAGUGAACACUAAUUGUGCAGACGAGGCAAAAGUAGUAUUUGCUUCGUAACAUGCUUGUAAGUGAACUAGUACCCAUUAACUGUGUAUCACUCUUCAGAGCCCAGAUUGAAUAUUUAAUAGGUGUCAUCAACUGUUGUCUAUAAUCACUGAAGAAAUUCAGCUAUACCGGGAUACAGGAGGUAUAUGUACUAGGAUUAGCAAGGGUGAUGCAGUCCGGGUCUCCAAGUAUUUGGUUUGGAAGUAAAUGAAGAGAUGAGGCAUGUAAUUGUGUCUUUCACUAAUAGGUUGUAAGUGGUCAUGCAAGUUUCUAAACCCCUUGCAUGUUCUAAUAAAUACUUCUAGUUGACAAAUGAGAAGGCCGCCAUGAAUCUGCAUCUCUCACUUGGAACCAUGUGAAACAGUGAUUUAUGAAAUGCCCUUUAAAACUCCUCAGAGGUUCAUAUUCUGCACAAGUUGCUUUUUUUCUGUCUAAUUGAGAAAGCUGCUAUAUUUUGAGUCUGCAUAAAUGACUGCAGGCCUUGAUUUUUUUUUUUUUAUUAUUUGCACAGUUGUUACUGUUUCCUUGGGCAGAGAGCCAUAGGGUGAGUCCCAUGACCCUUGCCUGGGUGUGUCCUUCUGUGUGAUGUACCUUCCAUGAAGCUUACCAGUAUGUUUUAUCGUGUGUUCCAUGUCAUGUGCACAGUUAGACUCAGAUGCUGCAGAGGCAGAGGGCUAUGGAGUGUACCUAUUCCUUCAAAGUGCUGUUUCCCCAGACAAUACCUGGUGCAAAAUGAAUACUUCAGUGGUGGUUCUGUUGUCUUCUUUUGUGACUCUGUCCCUCUGAAUUAAUUCUAGUCUGUGGCACUGCAUGACUUCCAAGAGAAUUUUAGCAUCCUGUGCAACAUGCAUGAGAUUUAGAAGCACUGUCUAUUGACCUUCUUUAUGAACAUUUACUGAGAGCUUACUAUGGGCCAGGCACUAUUCUAAGCAUUUCACAUCAUUAUUUCAUAGCAAUCCAUUUAAGUCAAUCUUAAUAAUACCCUUAUUUAUCAGAUGAGAAACUAGGGUCCCUCGUAGAUUAGAUGUAUGUGUUGGAGCUGUGAGUCAAAAAAUGCACUGCAACCCUAGAGCUCAGAGUUCCUAACAUCUAUUCUACCUUGUCUCCCAAGGAAAAUGCUAUGGCCAGGAGUUGGGUAAACAGAUAAAAAGAUGGCUGGGUAUGGUGGCUCACACCUGUGAUUUUAGCAGUUUGCGAGGCCAAGGUGGGCAAAUCCUUUGAGCUCAGGAGUUCACGACCAUUAUGGGCAACUUGGCAAAACCCCAUCUCUACAAAAAUACAAAAAAUUAGCCAAGCGUGGCGGCACACCCCUGUUCUCCCAGCUACUCAGGGGGCUGAGUAGCUGAGGUGGGAGGAUCAGUAGGGUCUGGGAGGUGGAGGUUGCAGUAGGCUGAGACUGCGCCACUGUAAUCCAGCCUGGGCGAUAGAGUAAGAUCCUUUCUCAAAAAAAAAAAAAAAUGUGUGUGUGUGUGUACACACAUAUAUCAUCAAAAAACAAAUGGUAGGUAGGACUUAGAUUUAUUUGAUAUGGUGUGGCUCUGUGUCCCCACACAAAUCUCAUCUUGAAUUGUAAUCCCCAUAAUCCCCCACGUGUUGAGGGAGGGAACUGGUGGGUGGUGGCUGUUCUUGUGCUGGUGAGUUCUCAUGACAUUUGAUGGUUUGAUAAGUGUUGUAACGGUCCCUCCUACACAUGCUCACUUCUCUCCUGCCGCCUUGUGAAGAUGUUGCCUGCUUCCCAUUCCACCAUGAUCGUGAGUUUCCUGAGGCCUCCUUAGCCAUGUGAACUGUGAGUCAAUUAAAUCUCUUUUCUUUAAAAAUUACCCAGGCUCAGGGAAGUUCUUUAUAGCAGUGUAAAAACGGACUAAUAGGUGUCAUGUACAUUUCUGUGAACCAGUCUAAAACUCUGCGUACUAUACAGAAGUCACAUGACAGUGGUUUCCGUAGAUAAUGCUCUGUACCAAGGGAGUUUAGAUCAGAUGCAGUAUGCAAAGAAGUCAGUCUUGUUGAAAUAAACACAACCCUAAAUGGAAUCAUCGUUCUAAUACAGAACCUAGCCCUGUGUUUCAGCAUGGCUGGAAUCCUACGUUUAUAUAAAAGAACUCUCAUGAAAUGAUUACCUGGAUUUUAACUCAGAGUGGAGAAUCUACAAUUAUUAUCACCAAAAAGGUAAGCCCACUGCAGGCAGGAGCAGUUUAAAUAGCACUUCUCCAAAAUGGUCUUUGGAAUACGUAUUCCAGUCCUUCAGUCUUCUUCCAUGAUCUUCUGUCUUUAUGUCCAGCAUCUUACAUAGGCCACCACCACCUUUUGCUGCAAUAUCCUGGUAACUGGCUUCUCUGUCUCCUUUAUUUAAAAUCCCCUCCGAGACGCUCCUUUAGUGCACCUAAAAUGCUCUUUAAGAAAGAAACCUAACCAUGGUACCCCACCUACAAAAGCUCUGUGUUAGCCUUUGGAUACAAUCCCACAUGCAUAACAUGAUUUCAAAGCCUUUCAGGAGGCAGCCCCUGCCUUCUUUACAGGCUCUUUGUUCUCCACUCCACCCACAAUACAGCCACACAUGGCUACAUUCAGUGACCCUGAGUACCUUGCUCUCUCUCACCUCCAGGUCAUUGAAACCGCUGCCUGGAACACUCUCUCCUCAUCUUUGCUUUGCCUGUUCACUUACUCUAUUUGGUGUUCCCUAAAGGAAUACUUAAGGCCAGGUACCUUAUAAAGAAAAAAGGUUUAUUUAUCUCACAGUUUUGCAGAUGGUACAAGAAGCAUGGUACCGGCAUCUGCUGCUGGUGAGUGCUUUAGGCUGCUUCCACUCAUGGUGGAAGGUGAAGGGGAGCUGGUGUGUGCAGAGAUCACAUGGCAAGAGAAGAAGAAAUAAGAGAGAGGGGAGGCACCAGGCUCUUUUCAACAACCAGCUCUCUUGGGAACUAAUAGAGUGAGACUACUCACCCCACUUGCAUGGAAAGCAUGAAUCUAUUCAUGAGAGAGGCACCCCCAUGACCCAAAGACCUCCCAUUAGGUCUGCCUGUCACCGUGGGGAUCGGUCUUCAACGUGAGAUUUGGAGGGGACAAAUGUCUGAACUGCAGCACUCGUGUUGUUUCUGCUUGUUCCCAGCAGGCCAUUUGUAGCCACCCUUCACCUCCACCAACCUUAACCUCAGAAUCACUUCUGGAUGUUCGUGUAGCAUCCAUUGUGGAUUGUUCUAGCCUCCUUAAUUUUCUGUUUUCCACCGAAGUCUGUAAGCUUGCUGAUUCAAAGCUUGAUGAAUAAAAAACUUGUCUGUAAACUUGAAGUCUGUAAGCUUGAUGAAUCAAAAACCAUGAUUGCCUUGCUUACCCUUAUUGUGAACAAAUGAAUGGAUGGAAUGAUGCGGAAACUCUAGAGCAUCAUGUACAGAUGGAAAAUGCUCUGUAGUUUUUAAUAAAAAUAUUUGGCAGUAAUUGGCUGGGCUGCAGUGCAUACAAGGGAAUAUGAUUCAUCUAUAAAAAGAAAUACUGUGUAAAAACAUCGAUAAACCUGGAGGACAUCGUGCUAAGUGAAAUAAGGCAGACACGGAAAGACAAAUUUUGCUUGAUCUCACUUAUAUAUGGAAUCUGAAAAACUGAACUCCUGGAAGCAGAGAGUAGAAAGGUGGUUGGCAGGGGUUAGGAGUGGGAGAAUUGGAGAGAUGCUGGUCAAAAGGUAGAAAAUUUCAGUGAAGAGAUGAACACGUUCUCAGUCUCUUGUUCCCCACAGUGGUGAUGGAUGUGUUAACUAAUUUGAUUGGGAUAAUCAUUACACAAUGCAUACAUAAAUCAUCAUAUUGUACACCUUGAAUCUCUUUAAUCUUUAUUUAAAAUUUUUUUUUAAAUUAAAGCAUUUGCAGCUAGGUGUGGUGCCUCAUGUCUAUAAUCCCAGCACUUUGAGAGGCUGAAGUGGGAGGAUCACUUGAGGUCGAGUUCGAGACCAGCUUGGCCAACAUGGUGAAACCACAUGUGUACUAAAAGUACAUAAAUUAGUUGAGCAUGCUGGUAUACAUGUAUAAUCUUAGCUACUUGGGGGGCUGAGGGAGGAGAAUCUCCUUGGACCUGGGAGGCAGAGAUUGCAGUGAGCAGAAAUUGUGCCAGUGUACUCCAGCCUGGGUGCAGACUCUGUCUCAAAAAAAAAAAAAAAAAAAUUAAAGCAUUUGCAAAAGUGAAGGUAAACUACAGUGAUAACAAAACACUACUCAUUAUAGAAAAGACAUAGUAUAGAUAGUCAGAGACCACCAAAUGUAAAAUGACUUUUUCUUUUAAUUUUUGCUAUAAGCUCCCCUGAUGAAAAGAGGGCUGGAAGCAUUAGCCACUUGCGAGGGUAUCAGUCAGGUUAAGACAAUCUAUGCUGUAGUAACAUGUAACUCCCAAUGUCCAUGGCUUAACAGAACCAUGGUGCUUUGUUUUUGUUUUUUUUUUUUUUUUUCUCAGAUAUUUCUUUCUGUCCAUCCUGGACUGGCUGGAAGUGAUGCUCUAUUUCUUCUAUACACAGAGUCACAGGUUACACCUUUUCUGCAAUUACCAGGACAGAACAAACAGAGUUAAUUGCACACUGGUCCUCCAAGGUGUUAUCCCAAAGUGACGUGUGCCACUGUCGUUCACAUUUCAUUAGCUAAGACAAGACAUUCAGCGGUGCCUAAGUCCAUGUAGGCAAGGACACACAAUCACUUCCUUUGCUCUGAAGGAGAAACAGAAUUUUUUGGAGAAAAGCAACCAAGAUCCACCACCAUGAGAAAAAGAGCCGCAGGUCAGUCUCAACAACAUCGUGGGGAACGGCUAUGCCUAACUGCACUGCGAUUCCAAGUGUGAUCCUGCAGGAGCAAUACCUCUAAGAUGUGUGGUCAUAGUGUCUUCAUUCUCCUCUAUGUCACUUUUAGGAAUUUUCUGGCUAAAGAUAGGGACCUCCAUUUGAUUUUUCUUUUCUUCUCUUCUUAGCCUAGUUUGAAAUGUUGGCUCUCUUAAUCAACAAAGACUUUGUCAUUGAUGCACAGUGAAUGUCCAGUUUCAAACCAUGGGCUACUUACUAAUUCCUUGAGUAUUUGUGGAGACUUCUGUUUGCCAAAAUACUUCUUUAUUUCAUUUCUUGUUAUCUUUAGAAGCCAUUACUGAUAGGUAUUCAUUUUGACCCCUUUAUACACACUGCUCAACUCUGCGUCCUCUGCAGGCAAAAUCAGUAUUCCAUCCCACUCCUCAUCCUUACUGUUUGUGGCACUCUCAUCUAUAUGAGAAACAGGAUCUGUGUUUGACAAGCAUGCUUACCCUUUGCUUACUGUUUUAAUAAAAAUUUCUAUCAGCAUUUUAUCUACAGUAGCAGUCGAGGCACUAUUUGAUAUUGAGAUGCUAGAUUUCAUGGACUUUGAAAUAUUUUCCCCAUAUCUUUUUUUGUCAAGUCUUUGAACAUAGACCACAAAAAAUUGACAUGUUGGAGAUGAAUUUGCAGACUCUGAGUUAACUAAUGACUACCUGUCCCAGUUUAAAUUGUGUUCUAGGAUUGAAACAUUAUAUUACACAGUCAAAUCAUUGAAAUUAAUGGUCAGACUGUUCCAUAACGGAGUUAGUUUCCCGUGAGACUGAUGCUGUAUUAAAUCAGCAGGCUGUCCAGAUCUCCCUGCAUCAUGUUGACCCAGUCUUGGCAAUUUCAAAGUGGUACCUAGUAGUCACACUGUUUUAAAUGGGGAAUGGUGAGAAGCAGCUUCCUAAUCUCCAGCUUUCAGAUACAGUAUCUUGUUUCAUCCCCUUUAUCCUCUGAGGCAAACUAUCAUUGUCCUGAAUGCAGAGAUGGGGAAACUGAGGCAUGAAUGUUACUCUGUGUGCUAAAGAUUAUCCUUUAAGGCUAAGUAGCCUGGGUUUGUUUGGCCUUUCUCUCCCUAGAUCUCUUCUUGGCUGGCAGUUCUCAUGAUUCAGGGCUCUUCUCAGACAUCUCUCAUGAGAGAGGCCUUUCUCGACUUCCAGCCAUGGAGACAGUCACCCUGGUUCUCUGCUCUGUCACGUUCAUAGCACUUAGUAUUAUUUCAUUGUGUUUCUUAUGUGUCCACCUGUUUUCGCUCUCUGUCCACUUGAGUACAAAGGAGAGGACCUUGUCUCUUUGGUUUCAGUGGCACAUCCCAGCACUAUAGCAGUGCCUGGCACCCAGUAGAUGUUCUGAAGUUUCAGUGGAUGGAUGCCCAUUUAUGUACUGUGCUUUUUUUCUCCCUCAGGGCCACAUAAUUGAGUUGCUUCAUGCAAAGCAACAAAUUAAACGUUUAGGGCUUCAUGGACAAACCCCACUACUUUUUUUAAAGAAAUUUAUUUUGGAAACAGGGUCUGUCUGUCACCCUGGCUGGAAUGUGGAGAGAGCACAGUUUGCUACAGCCUUGAACUCCCAGGAUCAAGCAAUCCUCCCUCCUUAGCCUCCUGAAUAGGUGGGACUACAGGCACAUGCCACCACACCAGGCUAAGUGCGGCAUGUGCCUGUAGCCCGACACUAAAUUUUUUUGUUUUGUUUUGAGACAGAGUUUCGCUCUUGUUACCCAGGCUGGAGUGCAAUGGCGCGAUCUCGGCUCACUGCAACCUCCACCUCCUGGGUUCAGACAAUUCUCCCGCCUCAGCCUCCUGAGUAGCUGGGAUUACAGGCACGCACCACCAUGCCCAGCUAAUUUUUUGUAUCUUUAGUAGAGACGGGGUUUCACCAUGCUGACCAGGAUGGUCUCGAUCUCUUGACCUCGUGAUCUACCCGCCUCUCACUCUGUUGGCCAGGCGGGUCUCAGACUUCUAGCCUGAAGUGAUCCACUCUUUAAGAUCUUCAGUAACGCAGCUUUACCGGUAACAACAUGUAUUUUUUUAAUACUGUGCAAGAAAUUACUCCCAACGUUUGCAUUUCAAAACAACAAACUUUUUUUUUUUUCAUCUCAUAGAGUUCCUAAGGUUCAGGAAUUUGGGAGUGGCUUGGCUGGGUGGCUCUAGCUCUGGUUUCCUGGUGAGGUAGUGGCUCAGCCCAUCAGAUGGGGCAGCAGUCAGUGAAGCUUGGAAGUAACGCUUCUAGACUCACUCAUGUGGAUGUUGGCAGGCCUCAGUCCUUCCCACAUGGGCCUCAUAAGCAGCUGCUGGAGUGUCCUGGAGACAUGGCAGAUGGCUCUCCACCAAAGUGAGGUGUGAGACAGAGAGAGAGAAAGCAAAGGGAGAAAGAGGAGACAGAUGGUAAGAUGGAAGCCACAGUCCUUUAUGACCUAACCUCAGCUUGACAUACCGUCACUUCUGCUGUGUUCCAUUGGAACUCUGGUACAGCAUGGGAGGAGAGGGCUCAAAGGCACAAACACUAGAAGGUGGCGAUUAUCUCAGGGCCAUCUUGGGGGCUGAUUCUCAUGUACCUGUUUCCGAUUCUCAGAGCCGUGGAUGGAUCAUGAAACUCUGUAUUCCAGUGGACGUGUCCUGGACAGACCUCUGAGGCGACGUCAGUCCAAUUUUCCUGGCCAGCUGCAAGCUGCAAUUGGGUCAACUACUUGCCGCGUGGAGAAACCUAUUUUCUUGCCGUUGCUGCAGAGGUUUCGUGGGCUGUGUCAACCUUUCUGUUCAUGGUUGCUUUUCUGUGGGAACGCAUCCUGUGAGUACCUUCACAAAAACAGCUUACCCACCAUCCAGAAGUUAGUAUUCUCCCUUUGUUUUCUAGGAAAAACACAAGCCAACCUUCCUGAGUUGUUGGUCAGUCGCUGAAUCCCACGGCUGUUUCGAUAAGUUCUCUUUAAGCAGAUUUUUCAUGUCUUCCCUAUUUAUAUCUUUUCAAAUCCAAUCUACUUCAAUCAGUUUUAAUCCCCUAAUGUGUUUGCUAUAAGUACUGUACAAUUCACUUGUCCUCAAUAAUAAAAUUCAUUUCGGUGCAGCCUGCCGGUAAUUUGUUUGAGAAGAAGUCGUUAGGAAACCCUUGGAUUCUCUUCUGAUUUAGAGGACAACCUUCAGUAUUGAUAGCAUUUUGUUGUCAUGCACUUGAAGUAUUCUUUCACGACUGAGGGUGCUGUUUAAAUAAUGGACUCCACAACCAUGUGCUUAAAUGAAAUCUGACUACACUGAUGUCCUUGCCUAUUAGGAAACUUCAAGUGUUCUGCAAGGACACGAUUUCAUUGACCGUGGAUUUAUAUUUGCAGUUUGUACAAAUUACUGUGGAUGGCUCCCCCUUCACUGUAAAAUACUGUUUUUGAAAAUCAGUGUUUUCAUUGUUUUAUCUCUCAGUGUACCCUGUGUAAGCAAAGGAUUGUGCUCCAGGCCCCUCCUGGAGCAGGUAAAGUAAAAUCGAGUUUUUUCUAUAUGAAAGAUAGAAAAGUAUAGUAUUACUGACUCAGCUUAAUACUGAGUGAAUAUACUCUAAUGAGACUCAGAAGAUAGAAAAGAUGCACUUUGUCUAUACAUAUUAUAGACACACACACACACACACACAUAUAAAAUAUAAUUUAUAUAUGUAUGCUUAAUUGGAAAAAUAAACAUCAAGAGCAUGUUUUAUUGUUUAUCUGUAUCUCUCACUUUUUUAAACAGCCCGUGAAGACAAAGCACCUUUUUAUUUAGACUUGGCUAAAAAUUAUCAGUCAUAUGUAGAUGAUUAUGCAAUAUCUGCCAACUUCCUACUCAGGGAAAGUUAUAGCAGAUGGCGGAAUUUAUGUGCCAUGUGGCAUUUGUUUAAGUGUGGAAAUAGCUAAUAUUUUUUCCUCGAUCAUUAUAACUAUUUUUCUUUUAAAGGGUCAAUUAACUUUGAAAUACCAUUUUUGAUGGGUGCCUCAGUGAAGGGUGGGAUGGGGAGAAUGAAGAGAAAUUUGAAAUCUUGCAGGCCCUUUGAUUGAGUAAGUGUUGUGUAGCUCAUUAAUCAGGGGCUCCAAGCUCCCUGUUUUCAAAAUAGCAUCAUUGUGUCCUAAAUAUAGAUUCCUCUGGAAUUGUUAAGGAGAAGGUCCUAUUGAGAGCAGCAGGCACUAUAGAUUGGUCUUUCAACUACAAAGGACUGGGAUUCACAUUUGCAAGUUUACGGGUCCCCAGGGAGAACAUCUUGGAGUCAGCAUCAUUUCAAGCAUGUAGCGCAUAAUUUGUUUUGAUAACUACAAACAAAAGAGGUCUGCUGAAAGGCUUCUUCAAAAAUUGGCAGGGGCUCUUCCCCUUGAUAAUGGGAGCUGCUGCUCCCAGGGCUGAGGACCUCAGCAUCACAGCAGGCCUGGGAUCUAGUGAGAAGAGCAAGGAAGCUGCAGGAGGUGAUGGAAGGCAGGCAUCUCUCCAGAGAGAGGAGCACAUGCUAACCUUGGGAGCCCCUUCCUAUCAGGAAUCAAUAUCACGCGAGCAUGAUCUAUAGCAGAGACCCAGUGCUUGGAGUAAUUUUUAUGUUGUGUAUGCUUCAAAUGCAUUUUAUUUCCUGACUUGAGACGUUCUACUUAGAUGAAAUAAGAGGCAAGGGGUAUGUGUGCUGGGGUGGUGGAAGACGGAGAGGGGAUUUGAUGGAGAACAUUAAGGACCUAUUGCUUGCCUGUUUUCUAGGAAUCUUUACCCAUAAUCGGCUCAUUACAGAGACUCUUGGGGUUCUCUUGAGGCUGCGGAAGGCGGGCCUCCUGAGAUUGUGUAGAGCGAAGGGAUCGGUCAGGAAAUAUUUAUUACACAGAAGAAAGAGGAAUGCACCGGCAGAGUUCUGGGCCCGCUGCAGCCAUUCAGCAAAUGUUAUUUGAAUGAAUUUAUUUAUAAAAACGGAUAUGUAAAAACAGGAGUCAUUAUCUUGAGAGGUCUGAUUGAGGAUGAUUUUUCUUUUCUUUCUUUCCUACAGCACCCGGUAUUUCCGGGCGGUCUCCCAUCCAAAUACUAACCAGGCCCGACCCUGCUUAGCUUCCGAGAUUUUUCUUUUCUUAGUUUUUGUAACUGUUGGUGAUUGUUGAUUACUUUUCUUACAAUUAGAAUUAUCAUCAUCAUUUUAUAUACAUUUCUCCCUGCCUCUGUUAACAAUAUGGUGAUGGCCUUUCCCAUUUUUAAACCUUUACAUUGCUUGUGUAAGUAUAGUUUCAUUCUGAUAUACAUGCAAUAAUAUAAAGUGCAUUUUUUCUGCAAAUACACACUUAGCAAGCGUUCUGGGGCUCUUUAUUUAGUAGAACCUAAUCUCAUUCUUUCUAAAACGUUACUUGAUAUCCCAUAGUGGGGGUGUAAUAUCAUUGAUUUAAAUAUUUUUUGCCUAUAUUUGAUUUCAUAAUGUAUGUUUUAAAGUGACUCAUCUCUAUCAAAUUCUAUAAGACAUAAAGAAUAAACCCAUGGCACUCCCCAGUUGUCUGAGAUCUAGUUAUGAUGUUUGCACAUUUUCUCCAAUGAGUAUGUGCUGCUUUUAAACCACUAAAGGUUGAAGAAAGUUUUAAAUCUACUUGUAGGAUCAACACUAUGCACGUGAAAAGAAGAAUGUCUAACCUGUAUUGGGCUCUUGUCUAAGAGGCGCUAUAUUAAGCGUGUGUGUAUAUACAAAUAUAGAUAAACUCAUUAGCAUCCUUUCCAUUAUUAAGCGUGCACCAUAGCAUACCAGGCAAGAUUGCUGACUCUUCCCUAGAUGGACAGCUGUGUUUUCACAUCUUCCUGCCUUUCCUUCCAUGGAUGUUUAUUCAAUAUUUACUUACUUAUUUAGUUUGAGAUGGAGUCUUAUUCUGUCACCCAGGCUGGAGUGUAGUGGCACUAUCUUGGCUCACUGCACCUUUUGCCUCCUGGGAUCAAGGAAUUCUUAUGCCUCAGCUUCUCCAGUACCUAGAAUUACAGAUGUGCGCCACCACACCUGGCUAAUUUUUGUGUUUUCCUUUUAGUAGAGACGGGGUUUCGCCAUGUUGGCCAGGCUGGCCUCCAAGUCCUGACCUCAAGCGAUCCACCCAGCUCAGCCUCCCAAAGUGUUGAGAUUACAGGCAUCAGCUGCCAUGCCCGGCUAUCAGUUAAUACUUAUUAAGUGUCUGCUUUGUUCCCGGCACUCUUCCGUGUGCUGAGAAUUUAGCAGUGAACAAAAUAAAUACCAUCCUCCAGGGACCUUGAACUCAAGUCUAGCGGGGGGUCACUCUAUUAAGAGAUCAAGUCGACAUUCAACUCUUACAGACACAGAUAGGAUAGUAUUUCAAUUUCUCCUUGAUCUGCUCCCCGGACACCUAGACCACAGGCACUGUAGAUAGAGACCCGUUAGCAGAGGCUUUCCCAUCGUUUCUGUGUGAAGGGAAGCAGUGCCUUUUCAGUAGAUGACAUUAAAGUAGCCAAUAGACGUGGAUCCUGGUGGGGUGGUCCCGACUGUCACAAACAUUCCUCGUCGAAGUCCGCCAGGAGACACCGUACCGUCCCCUAGAAAGUAAGAAAUAGGGAAGGCGAAGUCUCCCGCUCCGACUGUGUGUCUCUCAGCUCUGAGAAAUUUCUUUUCAGAUGUUACCCUACCCCAGCCUGUCUCUCACUGCUGGGGAGAGUCUGCCGUCCUCUCAGGUGAUAAUCAGGGAGCCUGCUGUCACUUGGGAAAGGCUUUAAAAAUUCAUCUCAUUUGCUGUGAGUGCAUGUCCCUGGUAUUCCUGCCUGUCCUCAUCCAUCUCAUUUUGAUCGUACACACCGUGUGAUUUGGAAAGGAAGUGGUGUUUUUUGGAGGGGGAGGGAAACACUGGAAAACAAGGCUGAUGGUGAUGGUCAUGAGCGCAGGGCUGUUCUGUGCUCUGUGCCAUGCUCAGGGAUGAUGCACCCUCCUGAAAGAAAGGGACACUUGUUAGAGAAGGCAUGGGUGUGAAGUGGGGCUGCGGGAGAGCUGGGAGCCCGAGUGUCACACGCUGCUGUUCACCGCGGGUUGCCUCUGAGCACCAUGGGGAGGCAGUGACACCAGCUGGCCUCACAGUGACACUCCAGCAGCUGUCCUUUUCUCCAGCCUGGAUGUGAUAAGUGCGUCCCGGAGGACAGUUAGAGGAAGACAGGCCAGACACCCCGGCCUCCCUCCUGGGUGCACUCUGACUUAGGCUACGUGGCUUCCAACAGACACCUUCCAUGGGUGCUGAGGCAGCCGGCUUCAUGGUCAGCAAGGCGAUUCCUGUCUCACUUUGCGAAUCUUGUUCCCCUCUCCGGAAUGUUCAAACUCUUUAGCGGGCACAUACAAAUGGUGAGCUGCACACUCAGAAAAACGUGGGUUUCAGUUCCGGCCUCGUGAUACGCUAUUGGUGGGAUCAUGACUAAGUCCCUUCUCUAAGCCUCGGUUUUCUUUUUUAUUUUUAUUAUACUUUGAAUUCUAGGGUACGUGUCUAAAAAGUGCAGGUUUGUUACACAGGUAUACAUGUGCCAUGGUGGCUUGCGGCAUCCCUCACCCCGUCAUCUACAUUAGGUAUUUCUCCUAAUGCUAUCCCUCCCCUGCCUCCCACCCCCCCCCCAACAGGCUCUGGUGUGUGAUGUUCCUCUCCCUGUGUCCAUGAGUUCUCAUUGUUCAACUCCCAUCUAUGGGUGAGAACAUGCAGUGUUUGGUUUUCUGUUCCUCUGUUAGUUUUCUGAGAAUGAUGGUUUCCAGCUUCAUCCAUGUCCCAGCAAAGGACAUGAACUCAUCCUUUGUUAUGGCUGCAUAGUAUUCCAUGGUGUAUAAGUGCCACAUUUUCUUUAUCCAGUCUGUCAUUGAUGGGCAUUUGGGUUGGUUUCGAGCCUUUGCUAUUAUGAACACUGCCACAGUAAACAUACCCAUGCAUGUGUCUUUAUAGUACAGUGAUUUAUAAUCCUUUUGGUACAUACCUAGUAAUGAGAUUGCUGGGUCAAAUGGUAUUUCUAGUUCUAGAUUCUUGAGGAAUUGCCACACUGUCUUCCACAAUGGUUGAACUAAUUUACUCUUUCACCAACAGUGUAAGACCUCAGUUUUCUUAUCUGUAAAGUGGGCUCAAGCAUGUGGUUUGACUGAGAUAACACACAUUCUUUCAUGCCAGUUCUGCCCAGGUCUGUCCAUGGCAACAUGAUAGGAGCUCUCUCCCUGUGUGUCAUUUUUUUCACCAGAGUGAGAAUGCCAUACGAAGCAAUAAAAACAUCCAUCUGGCUGGGCGCAGUGGCUGACACCUGUAAUCCCAGCACUUUGGGAGACUCAGGCAUAUUGAUCACAAGCUUAGGAGUUUGAGACUAGUCUGAGCAACGUGGUAAAACCCCGUUUCUACUAAAAAUACAAAAAUUAGCUGGGUAUCAUGACACAUGCCUGUAAUUCCAGCUACUCAGAAGACUGAGGCAGGAUAAUCUCUUGAACCCAGGAGGUGGAGGUUGCAGUGAGCUGAGAUUGUGCCACUGUACUCCAACCUGGGUGACAAAGUGAGACUCAGUGUCAAAAAAAAAAAAGGCCAGAUGUGGUGGCUGAUGCCUGUAAUCACAGCACUUUGGAAGACUGAGGUGGAGAGAUCACCUGAGGCUGGGGAGUUCAAGACCAGCCUGACCAACUUGGAGAAACCCCGUCUCUACUAAAAAUACAAAAUUAGCCAGGCAUGGUGGCAGAUGCCUGUAAUCCCAGCUACUCCAGAGGCUGAGGCAGGAGAUUCGCUUGAACCAAGGAGGCGGAGGUUGCGGCAAGCUGGGAUUGCACCAUUGAACUCCAGCCUGGGCGACAGAGCAAAACUCCAUUGCAAAAAAAAAAAAAUGUCAUCUGCCAGGGCAGGUGGCUCUCAGUAUAAUAAACAUUUCUGUGUAUAUCUUUUAUUAAGAAAAAGCAACUAGGAAUCACAUCUGGUAGUCUCUUUGAGACAUGGCCUGGGGUCCACCCGCAAUGUGACAGGACAGAAUUCUACACAGUCUUUAAAAUCUGCCUUUAGAAAAAUGCACAGCCUGAUUUUAUGUCUGUGAGUCAUUUUUUGGGGUGUGUCAUACCAUAAUUCUGAUAAAGAUAAUUACAUGCUGGUGUCUACAUGCAGUGAUGUGCUUGAUGAAGUAUAUGCACAUCGUUUGGUCCUUGUGUAUUUAUAUUUUCCUCUAAUUUAAAUGUUCACUAAGUGCUCUCAGCAUUGUUGGUAGAUUAUUGGAAAUUGCGACUUUAAGCAAAAUGACAUGUAACAGAAGAUACUUUACUGUGGGAUGAUUGAUAUAACUUUUCUGGUCAUAAAAACAUCACUGAUCUUGUAAAGACCCAAAACACUUCUAACAUUAAACAUGAAAACACGUGUGAAUCAUAUACACAUUAAAAAAAAUAAAUAAAGAGCUGGGUGUGGUGGCUUAUGCCUGUAAUCCCAGCACUUUGGAAGGCGGAGGUUGGUGGAUCACCUGAGUUUGGGAGUUUGAGUGCAAUCUGGUCAAAAUGGUAAAACCCCGUCUCUACUAAAAGUACAGAAAUUUGCUGGGCACAGUAGCAGAUGCCGGUAAUCCCAGCUACUUGUGAGACUGAGGCAGGGGAAUCACUUGAACCCGGGAGGUAAAAGUUGCAGUGAGCCAAGAUCACACCACUGCACUGGAGCGUGAGAGGCAGAGUGAGACUCCAUUUCAAUAGAAGAAUAAAAAAAUGAAAAGAUGAAUAAAAACAAGCAACAUAAUGAUCUACCCAGUUUUUGAUGAAUCACUGAGUGAUGGUGGCAGUAGGCCUGAUGAGUUACAUAAAAUAUAUAUAUAUAUAUAUAUAUUUUUUUUUUUUUUCAAAGCGUAAAUUGUCAGGAGUACAUCCCCCAUCACAGUACAAAAACAAUGACUAGCACGGCAGGCUCACUGGGCGCUUUCAUAAUGCUUUGUUUCUUGUUGUGCAUUUUUAUGAUUAUCAUCUACUUUAUCCAUUUUUGACAAUCAUGAGUAUUCAUUCUUUCAUUCUGCAUCUGGCUUACUCCAGUUCAGGCUUUCAAGUGGCUGGAUCCUAUUCUAGCAUCUCAGGGCACAAGGUAGGCACCACCCUGGCCAGGAUGUGUGCACACCCACACUCACUCAUGCUGAGAUGUUAUAGACGUGCCAGUUCCCCAAACACAUACAUCUUUGGGAUGUGGGAGGAAACCAGAGCACCUAGAGAAAACCCACACGUACAUGGCGAAGCAUACCAACUCCACACAGACAGUGGACCCAGCUGGGAGUCGAUUUUUUUUUUUUUCUUAACAUUAUAACCAAAUGGUAAAGACCUGCUGUACUCUGAGCUCUUCAUUCUCUGAAGGGUCUUAAAAACUUGAGGACCUCAAAAUGAUAUGGCUCACCCUCCUGGUUUAGGGCUUAGGUACGUUUUUAUUGAGUCCUCUGAAGCUUCUUAGAACCUAAACUGGGAGGAAAUAACAGCUAAUGGGGGAUUGUUCCUAUUUUUGUUGGCAGGGUGAGGGAGGUGGUGGCUGAGCUCAAACCAUAUGGAAGGAUAUUUUAUGUACUAAAACAAAAGAGGCAAUAAUUUUUUACUGCAACAUUAGGGAUUUAUGCUAAAUAAAAGUAAGUUCCCACAAUCCUGGGGGAGGGGCGUUAAGCCAAGGCAAAGAUUUUACAGCUGUUGGGAAAUUGCUUUCUGCAAAUACUAAAAGAUACAGUGCCAAGGUCGCUGGCCAUCUGCUAAUAAUUUAUGUUCCUCUCCCCAGCAAAGAUAAAUAACCAAUCAAGAACUGCCCAUCUAGGGAUACAUUUCCACCCCACCUUUUAUCUAAGCAGCAACCUGUGACUGAAUUCUGCCCAGUGACAGGUGGGAAGAAAUGCAUCUUUCAGGACUGGCCCCCAAAAGCUCUCUCUGGGAUGCUCCAAACUUCUUUUUUCCCCCAUCCUCUGAUGAACACCCACUUGACCUUGUAUGCUACAUGUGAAAAAUGGAGUCUUCAUCAUCUACCUGGGUCCCUGAAUGACUGUGUGGAUCAAGAAGCUCCCCACUCUUCCCUGCUAUGACUGGACUAGCCUCUGUAAUGUGGAGGGUGUCUGUAUUAGCAUCUACACUGCUUAACAUCAUUCUAAUGGAAUACUGCAUAUUUUCAUCAAUGGAGUUUCAACUGAAUGCAAAUAUUUAGAUUUGGGAGCAAUAAUCCUUAAAUUUUGUCAAUAAGAGCUAAUUAAAUAUAAGUACCAAUUCCAAUGCUUAGAACAUUUUAUGUGCUAUCUCUUUUUAUUUUCUUUCCAACUCUCUAGUUUGUAUCAGUCAGGGAACACCAAGUUGUGCUGUAGUAACAAAUAGCUCUGGAAUCUCUGGUAUAACACAAGAAAGAUUUAUUUCUUAUUUAUGAAAGUUCAUUGAGGUGCUGGGACACUUUCCAGAGAAGCUCUUCAGGGUGUAUUGGCUGAUCAUUCACAGUGGUUUUAGUGUUAGGAACCAGCCAUAUCAAUAAGUAGUUUCACAUUGUCCCAGAGGAAUUCCACCUGGAUGUCUUACAGUGGUAGUCAAGUGCUUUGUCCAGAAAGUGACACAUUCUACUUCCACCAAAUCCCAUUGGCCAGAGGUAGUCACAUGGUCUCCUUUUCCCUCCUGUAUCCCUACUAUGUACUCAGAAAAACAAAACAAGACAAAAACAGAUGGUGAAGCAGGAAGAACUAUGUGGAAGGAUAUUUUCUUCAUCAAACAAAAGCAAUGUAAUACAAAUGAGAAGGCUGGGGUUCAGAGAGCUUCAGUCACUUGGACAAGGUUACCCAGUGAGGAAGGCGCAGGUUUUGUAAUGAAGGGUGUCACCCAACAGUGCUUAUUUCAUUGAAGAGUUAUUUCUAAAAUUAAUUUUCUGUGUUAUAGCAUAAAAUAAUGACCUAGUCCUCAACAAUCUUGCAGCUCAAUGUUGCAAACAGUCAAGUAAAAUGAUCAGUUACCUGAAUUCUGACUAGUACUAGACAUCAGAUAGCACUUUACAUAUCAUUACCUUAUGGCUUUUUUUUUUUUUUUCUGAGACGGAGUUUCGCUCUUGUUACCCAGGCUGGAGUGCAAUGGCACAAUCUCAGCUCACUGCAACCUCUGCCUCCUGGGUUCAGGCAAUUCUCCCGCCUCAGCCUCCUGAGUAGCUGGGAUUACAGGCACACACCACCGUGCCCAGCUGAUUUUUUGUAUUUUUAGUAGAGACAGGGUUUCACCAUGUUGACCAGGGUGGUCUCGAUCUCUUGACCUCAUGAUCCACCCGCCUCGGCCUCCCAAAGUGCUGGGAUUACAGGCUUGAGCCACCGCGCCCAGCCUACCUUAUGUCUUAAGUAGUGAUAGGGGAAUGUAAAAAAAAACUUUUGCAUGUCAUCACAAAACACUUUUCUCAAGUGCAUAAGAAUCCUGGCCUAAAAUGGAUCAUCAUGGGAGAGUCUGAGAGCAGGGUAGUGGGAAGGUAGUAAAGGAAUGUCCUUGGGACACAGCAGUGGGUGAAAGUGUGUUGUGAUUCAUGACCUUAUGGAUGGAUGGUGUCCUCUUCCGUUUGUCCUUGGCUGGGUAGUUGAUGGAACACUGAUGUGCUUCUAAGGGUAUUUGGGAGAAAUAAAAAUCCAUGGUAAAAUGAAGCUCUGUUCUUCAUUUCACUCAGCAGAAACAUUCUCUCCUAAACUCCAAACAAUGUGCCCAGUAGGGGAUGUCUGCUAGCGGGGUGUGUGUGUGUGUGUGUGUGUGUGUGUGUGUGUGUGCGGGAGCACUGGAAAAACAGACAUAGGAAGAAAGAGAGAGAAAAACAGGGAGAGAGGAAUCUAGAGAGAGAGAAACAGAGUGAAGGAGAAACAGAAAAUUUUCCAUUUAUUUCAAGUCAGUUCUCUCAAGUUUUAUUAGGAUCAAAGCAAGAUAGAUAAAAAUAUAUUUAUUAAAUAAAAUACAGAUUUUUAAAGUAUAUUUCCUUGUUGCUAAAAAAAAAUUUGCUCAAUGCCUAAGAAUGAUACAAUGGACUUUGGGGACUUGGGGGAAAGGGUGGGAGUGGGGUGAGGGAUAAAAGACUACAAAUUGGGUGCAGUGUACAAAUUAUGGCUCAGAUGAUGGGUGCACCAAAAUACCAGAAAUCACCACUAAAGCACUUAUUCAUGUAACGAAACACCACCUGUUUUCCAAAAACCUAUAAAAAUAUUUUUAAAAAAUUGAAAAAUCUUCGCUCAAAAACGAGUCUAUUGAAAUGAUGCUAUCUUUUCUUCUAUUUUGGUUUUACUUAAAUCUGUUUUAAUGUUUUAUGUCAAACUGUUCAUGCUCAGUCCAGUUUUUGUUUUGUUUUGGUGUUUUUGAGAAAAGGUCUUGCUCUGUUACCCAGGCUGGAGUGUCGUGGUGCAGUUACUGCUCACUGUAGCCUUGACCUCCUGGGCUCGAGCAGCCCUCCCACCUCAGCCUCCUGAGCAGCUGGGGACUGUGUGCGUGCACCACCACACCUGCUGGUAUGGUUUGGCUUUGUGUCUCCGCCCAAAUCCCAUCUUGAAUUGUAGUUCCCAUGAUCCCCAUGUGUCAUAGGGAGAACCUGGUGGACGGUAAUUGAAUCAUCAGAGUGGUUACCUCCACGCUGUUCUCGUGAUCGCCAGUGAGUUCUCCCAAGACUUGAGGGCUUCAUAAGGGGCUUUUCCUCCUUUGCUCUGCUCUGCUCUUUGCUGCUGCUAUGUGAGGAAGAGCCUGUUUGCUUACCCUUCCGCCAUGAUUAGAAGUUUUCUGAGGCCUCCCAUGCCAUGCUAAACGGUAACUCAAUGAUACCUCUUGCAUUUAUAAAUACCACAUCUCAGGUAUAUCUUUAUUAGCAGCAUGGGAACAGACAAAUACACCUUGCUAAUUAAAAAACAAUUUUUUUUUAGAGACAGGGUCUCACUGUGUUGCCCAGGGUGGUCUCAAACUUCUGGCCUCAAGCUCUCCUCUCAUACCAGCGUCCUAAAGUCCUGGGGUUACAGCUGUGAGCCACUGCCUCCAGCCCUCAGUCCUUAGUCCUUUUUAAAGUAGUAUACAGAUACUAUGUAUAGGUUCACGAACCUGUUCAUCUCUUUUUUUUUUUUUUUUCAUUUCUGAGAUGGAGUCUGGCUCUGCCACCCACGUUGAAGUGCUGUGGUGCGAUCUCGGCUCACUGCAACCUGUGCCUCCUGGGUUCAAGCGAUUCACCUGCCUCAGCCUCCCAAGUAGCUGGGAUUACAGGUGCCCACCACUGUUUCCCACUAGUUUUUUUUUUAUUUUUAAUAGAGAUGGGGUUUCACCAUGUUGGCCAGGCUGGUCUCAAAGUCCUGACCUCAUGAACUGCCCACCUCAACCUCCCAAAGUGCUGGGAUUACAGGCAUGAGCUACUGUGCUCUGCCAGACCUGUUUAUCUUUUAAGGGAUUAUUAUCGUUGACUUUUUCCAUCACAAAUUUUGAUUCACCUCAGUGUGCUGAUAACUAUUUCCAGGUAAACUGGAGUCAUAACACAGAUUUGCCAAUUAUCUGGAGAGGAGUACUGCUUCCUAAUUAUGUGGUCAAUGAAGAGCCAGUUGAUCAUUAAGCUACACUGAUAUGCAAAGCCACAAUAAUAAACACCAGGAAAGAUUAAAAGCUCCCUAAGACAUCCCUUAUGGUCUUCUUCAUAAACAUACAAAUAAUGGAAAAAUAAAUACAUGUUUGCUCAAUUCUGCAAAACUAGAAAUGUCACAGGGGGGUGAAUAAUAAUAACCGUAUCGAGGGACCAAUCUUGGAUAGAUUCUUUUGUGGGGUAUAUAAAGUAAACCCAGUCACAAAUCUGCAAGGUUAGAAUCAUUUUUCUCCUUACCAUUCUAGAGAUGACACUAUUUGAGACUCAGAAAACUUCGCUCCCUGGCCCCACACAGCUGAUGCAUCACUGGGGUUUAGAUUCAGGCUCAGAUCUUGUUAUCACAAAGACGAGGACCCUCAAAACAUGCCUAGUCUUAACCGAUGCCUAAAUGGAACUUAAGUUUUCCAGAAAGAGCAGGUAAGCAUUGUCACAGCCCCCUGGAUAUCUCUUUGGGCUUUUCGUUCUUCUUUGCUUUUCCUCCUCCAAAAUCGUAAUUGUAAAGACAAGCUUCUGAAGCAUUUUCAAGAAUAGAUUUUGCUUUCGAUGAAGUGUGUCAAAAAUAAUGUUAUUUUAGGCCAGGCGCUAUGGCUCAUGCCUGUAAUCCUAGUACUUUGGGAGGCCAAGGCAGGAGAUGAAGACCAUCUUGGCCAACAUGGUGAAACCCUGUCUCUGCUAAAAAUACAAAAAUUAGCUGGGUGUGGUGUCACAUACCUAUAAUCCCAGCUACUUGGGAGGCUGAAGCAUGAGAAUUGCUUGAACCUGUGAGGUGGAAGUUGCAGUGAGCUGAGAUCACACCACUGCACUCCAGCCUAGCAACAGAGUGAGACUCUCCAAUAAUAACAAUUGAUUUUAGAAGAAUGGCAUAAAUAUUUCUCCAACAUCAUUUUCUUUUCCCUUCUCCAUUUUCCCUGCUGUGCCUGUUGAGUUAUCCCUAUACAGUUGAAGGGACAGGUAGGUCUGUGUGGGCAGACCAGAGUCUAAUGAGUUCCUAUACCAUGCCCAUCCCUAAUGAAGCCUCCUCAAGUAGGAUUUCCUGAGAGCGAGGGAAGCUUCCCCUUUGGUCUGGCUACUUCAAAAUUUAUAUCCUACACAGAGUUUCGUCUCUUUGCUUUUGUGGUGAUCCCCGUAAAGCACAAACCCAGCACCCUUGCUUCCUCUACAUUGGAGAUGGUGGUUAUUUGAUUGAGUCUUUAAAAAUUCUUUAUUGUGGUGGUUUUGCUCUUGGCGGCUGGUAUGGGGUUCCUUCCCCCAGCCGUGUUGACUGCUUUGGGAAACAAGUCUCACUCUUUACCAUGCAGACCUCUGCCCUGGGCUCUGAUGGUCUAGCUGAGGUGAAGCAAUCCAUGGGUGAGUGCUGACUGGCAAUGGUCCCUUCCUGUGCAGAAGGCAGAGUUCGAUCUCAUUUCAGUAAUGCUGCCUCUCUAUGAAAAUACUCCAUGACCUUCUCAGAAACAGGUGAUCUGUUGAUUCCCCAGGCUGCUUAGGGGGCUUCCCUCGUGGGUCCUGCUUGGCUUCUUAAUGAGGGACUCAGAGCUGUGUUCAUGGAGGUAGGUCACCUGGAAGUAGAGGCAGGUUUGACUGGGGACUCAAGCUUCGUGAAAUUGGAUGUGUGUCCCAGAUUCUUAGCUUUGGUGUUAUGUCCCUCAAGGAAGCCAGUGAGGUUAUAUGUCAAAGAGAAUCAGAGACAUUUCAACAUUUCAGGGUUUUCUUUUGCCCUAGAUAUUCAUAUAAACCAAUCAUUAUCAAACCGGGGUAUUUCCCCCCCACCAAAGGAUACUGGCAAUCUUGAAAGGAUGCCACCAGGAUUUAAUGGGGGAAGCCAGGGAUGCUGUCCUGCGAGGCACAGACCAGCUCUCUUCCCCUCAGCAAAGAAUUAUUUGUUUCUAAGUUUCAAUAGCAGGGAGGCUGAGAAAGCUGAUUUAAGCCAUAUUAAAAUGUACCCCAUUUUAAUAUAUAACACAAUUUUUUGAUAGUAAAAGUUUCAAAAGAAUUAUCACUUUGCUAUUGAAGUGAACUAACUCUUAAUAGCUCAUUGAAUUUAUGAUUAGCUACUGUUUCUCAGUAAUCAUUGCCUAAACUUGAAAAUUAUUAUGAGAGAAAAAUAAUGGACAACUUGUCUUCCAAUAUAAUAAAAUAUUUAUUAACACUAAAUUUAACAAUUAAUGAUGCUGACAUAAUGUUGCGUUUUGGAGAAAUAAAUUAAGCAGUUAUUAAUUUUGUCUUUGCUCCUUGAAAUGUUAGAGCCACUAUUAUUUUUUUAUUUUCAAAUAUUACUAGGUGCCCUUGGACCUCAAAGGCCCUAACACUGCAUAUGGAGUCAGGUGCAUAAAAUACCCUUGAAUCUAUUAAUUCUGGACCUCCGCAAUCAAAGGUUAAAUUCAUUUUAAAUACUUAAAUGAUGACAUCAGAGAUCAAAGAGGUCGAACAAUAAAAUCGGGAUUUAGUCUUUUUUUCUCUCUUUUCUCUUUUCCUUCACCAUUUCUCUUUUCUCACUCCAUUUCUUAUCUUCUUCCUCUCCUGUCCACUGCUCCCUUCCUUUCUCUUCAUUCCUCCCCUCCCUUUCCCACCCCUUCCCUAGCCUCCCCUCCCCACUCCUUUUUGAAAUGUUACUGUUCAUUUCAAUGAAAACUGAACUGAGCUUCAGUUGCCGCUGGUUCUCUAAGCCACAGUUCUGUUUACUGGUUUUUGUUUUUGCAGUUUCUCUCUCCUCCCGUCCUGAUUUCUCCUUUCCUUGAAUCUAUUAAUUCUGGACCUCACUCUCCUCUCUUGUCUCUUGCUCUGUGUGUCUCCCUCUCACCCUCACCUCACCCCUCUCUUUGGAGUUGAUUCCACUCUCAGGUUAGUGUUCCCCAUAAGGAAGAGGAUGGAUAGUAUCGGAGCCAGGUGUGUCCACUCAGAAAACCAGCUGGAAGACAGAGAUCUUAUUUCCUGAUUGCUUCAGUGAAAGUCCCGGGAGUAGUUCUAAUGGGUCCUAGAAUAAAUAAAUCACUGUGGUCAGGGGCACGGGGCACUGAUUGACCAGUUUGGAACACAUGUGCAGCUUCAGGACUGGGCACUACCUUUCCCUGUACCACCUGGUCUGAGAGAGGGACACGGAUGGGUUGCAGAGCAAUGGACCCGCUGGUGGCAAAGUCGAGAAAUGAUAGGCGGCACCAACAAAUGCCCCUCACACAACCACAGUGUUAAGUUUUGGGGGAACAUCUCACGCUAGCCCCGUGUAUGAACAGUGCUCAGUCAAUGGAGGAAAUAACUAGAACUUUAUUAGCUUCCAUUUUUACGUUUUAUUGCUUCCCUCCAAGUAAUUGGGAUUGGGGAGAGCAUCUUGUUACCUGUCUUCUUUUUAAUUGGAUUCUCUCCAUUCUCUGUGACUCUUAGUUCUUCGCUUUCUGGCUGGUUUUGUCAAGGUAACUAGGUAUUUUAAAUCACAGUGCAAUUUCUUGUAGCUCAGAAAACUGAACUGAAGUAGUAACUUUUAAUAGGUCAAUUACAUUAUUUUUCCGCAGCCUGCUGCAGCCGAAUGAAACUGCAGUUUAAUUAGGUUGGCGUGAUGCCAAAAUAAAUGUUUCAUCCCCAGCUUGUUUUAUUUACUCAUUGAAAAGUAGGGGAAUCUACAAAUAAUAGGAUUGGAAGAUGUUAGGAACUAAUCAGUUCGGCUGCACUUGUCUGUAAAGAAAGACGAUCGUAUCCUCAUCGGUCCAGUUUGGUAGCUGACAAAACUGCAGAACAAAUAAACAACAACAACAACCGUGGUUUUGUUUAAAACUCAACAAUGUAGAAGGUUCUUUUAACAAAAAAAAAAGUCAACUGCAAAUACUGAAAGGCCAUUCAGAAAGGAACAGAACUCAGAGUCCCCUAAUGUAUUCUGUGUUCCUAAUGUGUGGUAAGCAUUGUCCCUGGCGUAAUUAUAUCUGUUUUUCUCGGUAAACCAAAGAGAACUCUUGUGAGAUGAAGGUUGACGGCCCAGCAAAGGUGGCGCUGUGAGUGUGAACAAACCACACUGUCAUCAUUUGGAGGUCAGUGAGUUAGGAACAGGAAAAGAAGAGAACAGCAGAAAAGCUGUGUUUUAUUUCCCUUCCUUUUUUUUUUUGAGACAUAGUCUUGCUCUGUCAUCCAGGCUGCAGUGCCCUAGCACCACCUCAGCUCACUGCAACCUCUGCCUCCUGGGUUCAAGCAAUUCUCUUGCCUCAGCCUCCUGAGUUGCUGGGAUUACAAGCCUACACCACCACACCAGCAUAUUUUUUUGUAUUAUUAGCACAGAAGGGGUUUUGUCAUGUUUCCAGGCUGGUCUUGAAUUUCUUUCCUCAAGUGAUUCACCUGUUGUGGCCUCUCAAAGUGCUGGGAUUACAGGCAUGAGCCACUGUGCCCAGCCUGUGUUAACAGUUAAAACACAGUACCCCGGAAUGACCCCUAGCUACUUCCAGUCCUUGCGCCCUCAGCCAGAAGAUGGGAAUUGCCACCCACCCAGGCAGGGUCAGCCUGGCACCGAUCACUGAGGGAUUGAGACGAUGUUAGAUAGUUUUGCCAGCACCCUCCAGCCGAUGUCUCAUACUGAGCUGUAGUUUCAACAGAAAAUGAGGAUGUCUGGUCAUGUUCUCUCUCUCUCUCAUGUUCUCUCUCUGGUCAUGUUCAACACAGAUUAGGAAUCUGUAUUAAAAACCAGUGCCAACUUCUUUUCCUCUUGUUAAGAUAAUGGGAAUCAGCCUCAAGGAUUCUCAACCAGCAAUGCAGACAAGCCGGAUUUCCAGGCAAAGAGACAGCUGGUCAGGGCUUUGCAGGUGUCACUUUUUCUCUGAGAUACAGAGAGGCUGGCCUCUGUGCGCUUUAAUAAUACACAAUGCUUAGAACUUUCAUCUCUUCCAGUCUCAUACAAAGAAAAAAAUGAUUCCAAGGCAGUGCCAGCAAUUCUAAUGUCCUCCAGGCUAUUUUUCCAAAAAUGAUGCCUUAAUAGAUAACCAUUAUGUUAGAGAAGAGGAAACCUUUAUUGUCAUGUAUGUGUGAAAUAAGAGGUACACUUGCAGGGCAAUCAUGAAGCUUUGUAAUCACACAUUUCUGGUGUGAGGAGGUGCUGUUACGGUCUCAAAAGAUUUGGAACCAUCCCUUCUUGCCUUUUACUUCAACUGUAUUUUCAGUUUUAAUUCUAAGGUUGACUUGCAUUCUUGGUCCCUUUUGAAUAGAACCAUAGAUCCCCCAUGUUACAUUCAAAAGAAAUGUUGCAAGUGCCAUUUUUCAUCUUGACAUGUUUUGCAAGGUCUUUGCCUCUGUGACUUUGAGAUCUGUUUAAUUCCCGCAUUGGGCUGUGUGGGGUUCUUGCACUCUUGUGGUGGUGCUGUGUUGUUGGUUAGAUCAAGAACAGAGUCUUUCUGCAUGAGAAUAAUGCAGUAAACAAUCGUGAAUGCUCAGAAUGAUAAUUGUUUGUUCUGUAAUCAUGCAUCUGUUUGCUGCAGAGCAAAGGGGGUAAAACACAUGUCCUUGGCUGGCCAUCACAGCAAAACUCAUUUAGUUUUUUUCUUCUUCUUCCUCUCCUGCUCUGAUCCUUUGGAUAAAGAUCUGUGCAUUGAAAUGCAUAGUUUUAAGGACAUUCUGUAAAGUGGGUAUGCGUGAGUUUUGUAGAAGUGUCAUUUAGGAGCAAUCAUACACAAUUCUUUCUGCAGUAAUUCAAGUGUGUCCAGACAGCAGUUUGAAACUUUUAAAACAGUGAAGUACAUGUUCCCCUAAGUGAAAUAAUAUAUACCACAAUGUGUAAAACAGGUAUUAGCUGUAUUUCAUUUCAUACUAAAGUCAUGCUUAAUUUGAAAUGCAUCACAUUUGCUUACAAACCUAUCAUCAGAAGCAAUGUUGGUUAGGAUUAAUUCAGAGGUUUAGAAUCUGGAGGUCCGGGUGGCACCCAUAAGCAGUGGUUUCUGUGUUCAGACUACACAGUAUUGAGAAAAUCCCAAUUUGCUCAGAUAGGUAGAUGUGAGAACCAGCAGUUUCUUUCUUUCUUCUUUGUUUUUUUUUUUUUUUUUUUUGAGACGGAGUUUCGUUCUUGUUACCCAGGCUGGAGUGCAAUGGCGCAAUCUCGGCUCACCGCAACCUCCGCCUCCUGGGUUCAGGCAAUUCUCCUGCCUCAGCCUCCUGAGUAGCUGGGAUUACAGGCAUGUGCCACCAUGCCCAGCUAAUUUUUUGUAUUUUUAGUAGAGAUGGGGUUUCACCAUGUUGACCAGGAUGGUCUCGAUCUCUUGACCUUGUGAUCCACCCGCCUCGGCCUCCCAAAGUGCUGGGAUUACAGGCGUAAGCCACUGCACCCGGCCUCAGCAGUUUCUUUCAACUACCCAUGUUGCAACCUCAGAGUAUUCUACAUUGUGGAUAGAUGGUGGAAGAAACACUCAUUCCUAAGAUACCUACAAAAUGAGCAAAGCCAGCAGCAUACACAGACCCAGUAGUAAUCUAUCUCCAGUGUGUCUCAAUUGUGCGCAUCCGAUAUUUGUGACUUUCUUUUGUUCUAUUAAUCAGAGAUCUUUUCAGUGGCAAGUGCCGUGUACCGGACUUGAAUGGGGUUAAGGAAGAAAAAGUAUUGUCUCAUGUGAUUGAAACACCUACGUAUAUAGCUGGUUUGGGACAAAGCUGAAUCAAACUGGUCAGAUGAUGUUGCCAGGAAUACUUCUUCCCACAUUACACACUCUGGUACACCACAUAUUUUCAGGCUGUUCCCUUAACAUGGCCAGAUGGGUUCCAGCAGGGAUAAGCUUACAUCCUUCCAGCUCAGGAGACUGACGGCAAAGAGAACCUUCUUUUUAGUGAUUCAGGGUAAGUCCUGGCCAGACCUCAGUUGUUCACCCAUCCUGAGAAGCAGGGUUUGUAUUAACUGCACUAUUACCAUAUAAACUGAUUGCAGGAAGGGCAAAGAUUUCAUCAACGAGUCUUUUAAAAACUUAACAAUAAAAGGUUGACUGAUUAAAAAUUGUGUGUAAGUAUUAUGGAAAACAUGAUGUUUUGAAAUAUAUAUGUAUAGUGGAAUGUUAAAUUGAGUUUAAAUAGGUCAAAUUAAUACAUGCAUUAUGUCACCUAUUUAUUGUAUGUGUGUGUUGAGAACACUUAAAAUCGAUUUUCUUAGCAAUUUCCUAGUAUAUAAUACCUUAUUACUAACUGUACUUACCAUGAUGUACAAUAGAUCUCUUGAUUUCGUUCCUCUUAUCUAACUGUCAUUAUCCUUUGACUAAUAUCCCCCCAACUCCCCUCUCUCCCCACUGGUAACAACCAUUCUGUUCUCUGCAUCUGUGGGUUCGAGUCUUUUUUUUUGAGACGGAGUUUCGCUCUUGUUACCCCGGCUGGAGUGCAAUGGCGCAAUCUCUGCUCACCGCAACCUCCGCCUCCUGGGUUCAGGCAGUUCUCCUGCCUCAGCCUCCUAUGUGUAACAUUUUAAAAUCGGGACUUAUUUGAUUAUUUCCUUGUAGCUCAUUUAAAUUCAGCAUUUUGUGGAGAGUAGUACCCAGGCCAUGCUGACCGUCUCACUGCCCCCUUAGCUGAGGGCACUUCAUGUCCGUCUGUCCCAUUAUUUGUGGCAGCAAAUUUGGUCACUGGGUAACUGACAGAUUUCCCCAGUAUAAACUAGCCUGGUACUUAGGGAAUCCCCUGUGGGUCUGUACUUUGAUACUACCUAAGUAUCCUUUUUCCAUCAUCCUUUCCGCAUGGAGGACCCUUGUCAGAAUUGGUUAUUACACUGAUAGUAGUGAAAUCGUGCUUUUCUAAUUUUAUUCCACCUACUUUUUUUUAAAAAAAAAGAAAAAUUAAACUAAAUAUUGGCUGUACCAACUUUAGCAGAAUACCACUGCCAGAAAAGAAACUAUUUUGAAACUAUUUGGCAAAAGCAACAGAACUCUCUAACCAUCCAUUGGGUUCUAUUUGCCUGCUGCCUAGACAGAGCUGAUUUAUCAAGACGGGGAAGUUACAAUAGAAAAAAAGGUUUAAUUCACUCAGAGCCAGCUGUAUGGGAGACCAGAGUGUUAUUAUCACUCAAAUCCGUCUCCCGGAAAACUCAGGGAUUUUUUUUUUUUUUUGGUGGUUGUUUUUCUGAGCAGAGUCUUGCUCUGUCGCCCAGGCUGGAGUACAGUGGUUUGAUCUCGGCUCAUUGCAACCUCCACCUCCCAGGUUCAAGCGAUUCUCUGGCCUCAGCCUCCUGAGUAGCUGGGAUCACAGGUGUGCACCACCAUGCCCAAUUAUUAUCAUUUAAUUUUUAGUAGAGACCUGGUUUCACCGUGUUCCUCAAGCUGGUCUCAAACUCCUGACCUCGUGAUCUGCCUGCAUCAACCUCCCAGAGUGCUGGAAUUACUGGCAUGAGCCACCAUGCCCAGCAGGGAUUGGGGUUUUUAGGGAUUGUUGGGUGGGCAGAGGGUCAGAAAGCAGGAGUGCUGACUGGCCAGGUCAGAGAUGAAAUUGUAGGGAGUCCAAGUUGUCCUCUUGCACCGAGUCAGUUCCUGGGUGGGGGCCACAUGACCAGAUGAGCCAGUUGAUCGAUAUGAAUGGUGCCAGCUAAUCCAUCAAGUGCAGAGUCUGUAGGUUUUACAAUAGUGAUCUUAUCCCAGGAGCAAUUUGAGGAGGUUCAAAAUCUUGCAGCUCGUAGCUGCUUGACUCCUAAACCAUAAUUUCUAAUCUUAUAGCUGAUCUGUUAGUCCUGCAAAGGCAGUCUAGUUCCCAGGCACAAAGGGAGCUUGUUUUGGGAAAGGACUCCUCUCAUCUUUGUUUCAGAGUUAAACUAUAAACUAUAAAAUUCCUUCCAAAGUUAUUUCAGCCUAUGCCCAGAAGUGAACAAGGACAGCUUGGAGGUUAGAAGCAAGAUGGAGCCAGCUAGGUCUUAUCUGUCUUUCGCUGUUAACAUUUUCUCAGUUAUAAUUUUUACAAAGGUAGUUUCAGCUCCACCCAUAGCUACUUCAUGGACUUGAAGGAAAAAAAUCCAUAAUGUCCGAGAUUUCAAGUCAUUCCUCUUCUGAUAGAAAGCCUAAGCAGUAGCUCUAAGACUUGGUUGGGGAUCCAAAGGUAGAAAAGAGAAGGAAAGAGAAAAAAGGUAAUUGAAACAGUGACAAUUGAGAGAAGAGCGAUAGCGUUUUACGUGCAUUGCUGUUUUUUCAGCGUUAAAUACCCAGAAUGGAGUUCGGAGAACUUUUAUGUUCGCCUGGCAUAUUUAAAUUCUCCUUGUUUAGAAUUUCAAGAGCUACACUUUUCUUUGAUCCAGUUCGAUUAUCUUCCAUGAUCCUCAGAAAUUGUACUUUUCUCCCCCUUUCAGACUCAGAAAGUCCUUAGCCAAAUGGCCCCAACCAUUGGAUCUGCCUGUAGGUGUCAUUCAUUUUUGUUGUUCUUCCCCACCUCCCUGGGGUUUUUCAAUAGUGCUUCCUUUCAGUCAAAAGCUAAUUUUCUUCGUGUGUGUAGGUGGUAUAGAAUUCCAUGCUUUUACACAGUAGCAGGCCUGUAUUUGAUGUACCUGGUUCAGAGACAAUUGUCCUUUAUAGCUUUCAGGAGUAAAUUCAAUGAAAGCCCCAUGCGACUAGUUUGUAACUCAUUUAGUGAGAGUUCUACAGGAUUAUUUCACAAAGCAGUUCUCAGCUUAAGAAGCUAAAUUGGCUUUAUGGUGCCUAGCUGGAGGCCUCUUCGUCCCUGCAUUCAGAGGAUAUUUACAUGUGUACUAGGAAUCUUUCUAGAAAAUGGGAGGAGGGUGCAUAUCGACAUACAUUCCCUCAACUUCCUCUUAGCUACUCCUGAAGGGUGUUGGGUGGGUGUUUGAGAAUUAGGGAGACUGUUUUGUUUCCUAAUGCAGGGACAGCUGUGUUAUAUCGGCAAGUGUGUCUGACAUGCCAAGAAUUGUACAGUUCUAUGGAAUGAGCGCUAAAAUAGAGCAUGCAUUUGCACCUUCAGGUUAGUACAGUGGCUGUGAUGGGAGACUUUAGAGUCACACUGCCUGAGUCCCAGUGCUGGACUACACCUUGGGAAGUUACACAACCUCUCUGAGCUUGGUUUUGGCACCUGCAAGAUGUGGGCAAGUAUAAUUGUGGGCUGGGCAGGAUAGCCCAUGUGAAAUAUUAAGUGCUGUGAUAAUUCUCAGAUUUCUUUGUCAAAGAGUCAGCACACUGUAUAUGAGACAAUAAAUGCCUUUGUUAUCAAAAAAUCUGGCCAGGCAUGGUGGCUCAUGCCUGUAAGCUCAGCCCUUUGGGAGGCCAAGGAGGGCAGAUCUCUUGAGGCCAGGAGUUCAGGACCAGCCUGGCCAAUGUGGUGAAACCCCAUCUCUACUAAAAAUAGGUAUUUUUUCAAAGUUAGCCUGUAUGGUGGUUCAUGUUUGUAGUCCCAGCUGCUUGGGAGGCUGAGGCAUGAGAAUCACUAGACCCUGGGAGGUGAGGGUUGCAGUGAGCUGAGAUUGUACUGCUGCACUCCAGGCUUGGUGACAUAAAGGGAGAAAGAAAAACCUUUGUGUUACACAUAUUAUGCAGAGCUCCUUCUAGGAAGGACAGCAGGGCAACCCCUGCCCGAAUUCCUGGUGGAGGUGGGAGAGUAGGCCAUGCAGGCACUGUGAGUGACGCAGUCAUUUUUGUGAGAUGGUGGAGACUGCUUUUCAUCAGUAGCUCUCUGUCUUAGUCCUAUCUGUUGUGACACAGGCCAACUCGUGACUUCUGCUUUUUCUGCCGCUUAGUUUCUGUCCUAAUUUGUACUAUUAUAUUUAAUUUGAAAAUUGCCCAUAAAACAGCAUCUGCAUUUGUAAAUGAAGGAGCUGCAUUUUAAAUGCACUAACAAAGCUCACUUUUUAAAACAAGAUUAACAUCUUUCACACCAAGGAACCCCUUGGAAAAAAUUGGGGAAAGGACAGCAGAAAGCACCUUUUCUUUGUGAACUGAAUUUUUAUUUUUGGAACUGGCUUCACAGAAGAGAGAGAUGUUAACUAAUACUUGCUGGAUGUCUACUAUGCGCUGUAUGACUCCUAUUAUUUAGUCAUAUAGUUGUGAAUAUGAAACUGAACAGUUUUAGACUUUUGUGUGCAUGAAAGUAGGGAUUUGGACAGUUAAAGGCACAUCCUCCAAUGUCAGGGUAGGAAGACUGAGUAAAUCUGAAUUUCACAUGCAUCUCUCCAACGUCUUUUCUUUCUGGAACUCCUUUAGCAUCUCUGAAGUAUUUCAAUUUAGGAAAAUUGAAAGAAUAAUAACCACCAGAUAUUAGACUUUCUUUUGUGUGAUAGUAGGCAAUAAGUUGGACAUUGCAUACAUAUUAAUUAUAAUCUCCCUCCAUGAUGAGUAUUAUCUGAAGCUGUACAUUUCUUCUAUUUUCUCUUAGCUAUCCCCACAGGGUCUUUGGAUAGGUGCUUCAUAAUUAAGGAGAAUAUUUUGUUUCCUAAUACAGAAACAACAAUGUCAUAUUGGUGUGUGUAAGAAUUAUACAAUCCUAAGAAAUGACCGUCAAUAAAAUAGACUGUGCAUUUGCCAUUUAGGCUGGGAUAGUAAGACGGGAAACGUUGCAGUCAGACCAAUUGAGUCCAAAUACUGGCUCUCAUUGUAAUAGCUUUCUUUGCUCUGAGAAGUUAUACAUGUGGGGAAACAGGCUCUGCUACCAAGUGAUGAAAUUUGCAUCUGUUUAGUUCUGAAGCUCAUAGUCCCCUGAGAAAGAUCAUGUGUAUGUGCACCCACCUGUGUGUAGACAUGCACAGAGCUUCACAGGUAGCUGAAGUAGGGUUUAUUCUGUAGUGGGCAAAUAUUUCCUGGACAUUAAAAUAGUGCAUUCCCAUUCUACUCACCAAGGCAAGUCACUGAUGAGCUGUUCUUCCUCAAGGGUUUCCUGAGCAUCUGAUUAUACAUAGAGAGUAGAGAUCAAGAGAUCAUCCUCCUCAGUAUACCCAUCUCUCUCUGCCCUACUGGCUCUCAUGUAUUCCCUAAAACGUGUUGCUCAAUACAGGAUGUACAUUUACCAGGUGUUACUAUUAUCAGUUCAGACACUGAAAGGAAGGGUUCAAAUAAUGCAGAAUCACAGAGAAAAAAAUCAAAAAGAUCCACCUUUUCUUAACAGCUUCCUGAUGCCUCAAAAGGAAAAUAUUCGUUUGGUGAUCACUUCUUUUUGAUGACAUUUGCCAGUUUUCCUUGUACUAGAGGCAGAAUUGAGCCUCAGGCUGACAGUGGGAUCCAGCUAGAAUCAAGGAACAUGGCUUUGCUUUGGUUCUAUUUGUUUCUGUAGGUACCGUCUCUUCAUGAUGACAUUCCUGGUUUCCAGUUUAUGGUGGUAAGGGGAGUGCCCUCUUCAUGUGUUUUUCAAUAUUUAAUUUAUGCAAAUAAAAUGGCGAAUUGCUUGAAAGAAGGAAGAUUUUAUUUCUUCUUUAUUUUACAGAGGCAUGCCAUUCAGUAGCACUGGAACAGAGAGGAAGAGUAAUUGGAUGGCAGAAAGGCAGGUCACAUUAGCAUAUGUCAGAUUUUAAAUGAGGACUGCAGAGAUGGCAAUACUGGGAAGGUGCUCUGUGAAUGACAGAAAUUGAGGAAGGGUGUUUAAAGUGCUUGUCUCAUUGCCUAGUGAUUGACCGGCAUUGUAGACUCCAUCCCAUCCCACUGCUUUUGUCCAAUUUGGUGUUUAGGAUUAGUCAUGCACGUGGAAGAUUCCAGCCUCCCUCCUCCCAAUGUUACAGCUUGGGCUGAAUAUUCAUUAACUACCAGGGAAACAUCAUACUGUUUGAGGACACUUGAGUUGGUCUGUAUCCACAAAACGUGUUCUCAUCGUGAUGAAGCAGAGGAACAAUUCAUAAGGAACGACAGGAGCUUAGCAAGAAUAUAUAGGGGGAAAUCCUUUGUUGAGUGAGAGCAUGAAGUGCCCAGGAAGGUGCCUCCAGGAUUCGAAGAAGGAAACAAGACGUUCAGAUUUGAAAAGACCUGUCUAGACAACCAUACUUCCUAUGACCUUGGGAAGCCUACAAGAUCACACAUUUAACCUAUUUUAACAAUUUUAUGAGAAAAACAAGAAUGUACAUACCAUUGUGAAUGGUGGCUGACUUUCAGUUUUAAAUUGAGAUACAAAAGGGGGUGGUGGAGUCUGCGGCAAACUCGGCGAUGAAUGGCCCCGGAGGCUGCCCAGCUCUCACAGACUGUUUAUGUGUAGGAAUCUGACUCUGAUUUUCCAAGAGAAGUCAGGAAUCUAGGUUUUUAAUAUAAAGACUUCUGUUUUUCCAUUAUGGGCACCUAGUUUAUUAUUUAAACUGCUUGGGCCAACACCAGAGGGCUAGGACUGCUAAAUAAGUGUAUUCAGGUUGUGCACUGCACAACUCAAGGGUAUGCAUCUUUGUACUUUUUUUUGGAAAUGUUUUAAUUGAGGUUCACAUACUACAUGGUAUGCAUAUGCCACAGAAUUCACCUGUUUAAACUGAAUGCUUCAGUGGUUUUUAAUAUAUUCACAGAGUUUGGCAAUCAUCAACACACCAUCAACACAUUCUAAAUUUAGCAUAUUUUUAUUGCUCCGGAAAGACACCUUGUUCCCAUUAGUACUCACACCCUGUGCACCCUCUCCACACCCUCUAGCCCUGCACCACUAGCAUUCUGCUCUGUCUCUGUGGAUUUCCUCUUCUGGCUAUGUCAUAUAAAUUGAAUCGUACAGUACGUGGACAUUUGCAUCUGGCUUCUUUCACUGAGCAUAAUGUUUUCAAGGGCCAUCCGUGUUGCAGCAUGCGUCAAAAUUUAAUUCAUCUUUUGUAGACAAAUAAAAUUCUGUUCUAUGAAUAUACCACAUUGUGUUUGUCCAUUCACUGGUUGACAAACAUUUGGUUGUUGCCACUUUUUAUCCGUUAUGAACAUUGAUUUACAAGUUUUUCUGUGUACUUAUGCUUUUAUUUCUCUUGGAUAUAUACCUAGAAGUGGGAUUUCUGGGUUAUAUGAACUCUGCAUUUAACAUUUUGAGGAACUUCCAAACUGUUUUCCAAAGUGGGUGUGCCAUUUUACAUUCCCACCAGCAAUGUGUGUGGCUUCCACCUCGUCCACAUCUUCACCAGUACUUGUUGUUAUGUCUCUUUCACCGUCGCCAUUCUAAUGGGUGUGAAGUAAUAGCUCAUUGUGGAUUUCACUUGCAUUUCCCUCAUGAUUACUGGCAUUAAGCAUCUUUUUAAUGUUCUUCUUGGACAUUUGUUGUAUCUUCUUUGCACAAAUGCCUAUGAAGCUACCUUGCCAAUUUUUAAAACAGGGCUAUUUGUCUUUUUAUUAAGUUUUAUUAUUGGAGACUUUUUAUUAAGUGUUAUAUGAGGGUUUUAAUGGAACUUUUUACGUUUUGUGUAAGGAUUCUAUAUUCUGAGUAGAACUUUUAAAAUCACAUAUAUGAUUUGAAAAUAUUCUGUUCCAGUCUUUGGAUUGCCUUUUUACUUUUUAUAUGGAUUGUCAGUAGCACAAUUUUAAAAAAUUGGUACAGUCCAAUUUAGUUUUUACUGUUUUUUCUUUUGGUGUCAUUUUUUUAGAAUCUGUUUUUCACCCCAAGUUCGCAAAGGUUUACUCCUGUUCCCCCCGCCCCCAGGAGUUGUAUAGUAUUAGCUCUAAUGUUUAGGUCUAUGAUUCAUUUUGAGUUGACUUUUGCAUGUGGUGAGAUAAGGGUUUUUGCAUUUAUAUCUUUGCCUGUGGAUGUCCAGUUAUCCCAGCAACAUUCAUUAAAAAUUAUAUUCUUUUCUCACUGAAUCGACUAGGAACUUCAUACUGACUUAGACCCUGGGGUACAUCAUUGCAGUUGUUUACUUGUGUAAUGUAAAUAUGUGAAUGCAUAUUAAUUGUCCUAACUAGGAAAAAAUUAACUGCCGAAGCAGGGUCCUACUCCUGUGUUCCUUCCGCUUUUACUUUCUGCAUCUACAUCAACUCUGUGAUAAGAGAUGGGUAGGGCAGGUGCAGUGGCUCACGCCUGUCAGUCCAGUAAUUUGGUAGACUGAGGCGGGUGGAUCACUUGAGGUCAGGAGUUCAAGACCAGCUUGGCCAACAUAGUGAAACUCCAUCUCUACUAAAAAUAUAAAAACAAACAAGCAAACAAACAAAAAAUAGCUGGGUGUGGUGGUGGGUACCUGUAAUCCAGCUGCUUGGGAGGCCGAGGCAGGAGAAUCACUUGAAUCUGGGAGAUAAAGGUUGCAAUGAGCCGAGAUUGCACCACUGAACUCCAGUGUGGGUGACAUAGUGAGACUCUGUCUCAAAAUAAAAUAAAAAAGAUAGGUAACUAUUAAUGAGAAUAGAACUUCAGAGUAAAGGCUAAGUUGAAGUAUAGUGUCUUUUGAAUUGUAUGUCUUAGCUGGGCUGUAAGCAAAGCCCUUCUUCCUUCUUGCAUAUAUGCACAUGAACACCGGCACACAAUACACACAUGUCCCUGGGAGGAGUAAGUCAUUUACAGUUGAGAACAGCUGAUAGUUAUAUAUAGUGAUAUACAGAGAUAACGAAAUAGCUAAAGAUGUCAAUAUACACACCCAUGAUACAUUCAUAUACGCACAGAUUUUAGCUUUAAGUUAAACCUGGGAAGCCCCUGGUUUCUGCCACUAGCACAGUCUUCUGAAUGAAUGAGCUCUCAGGAGGGGAGCUUAUUGGAAAGCUUUCUUAUCAACCUGGUAAAGAUUUUAUUUUCUUGCCCCCUUCAGUGGCUGUUUGUCACCCUGACUGCAACUAGAAUUGCUGUGUUCUGUUCUUUUUCUGGAGAAAUUACAAAAGGAAUUGAUAAAAUUCUGCAUAAAAUGUAACCUAGCAAAUUCUAUGAAUUAUUAAGUACAGUUCUCUAAUCUUCAUGCCUAAUCUCCAGCAUCCAAGGAGGUAGAGAAGUAGUUGAGGGUAUUCAUCUAGACUUUGUUUGGUGGUAAUGUGUGCCAGUUGUAUAUCCCAAAGCCAUCUGAACCCCCUUUCCUUUCCCUGCCUCCAUUAUUCAUCUAGAUAAGCCAGAUCUUCAAUAUCCUAGCCUUUAAAACCAGGUACCAAAGGUGGGCAGGAUUUUCUUGCGAUUUAAAAGGACUGAGCCACAUCAGCAGCCACCUUUUGCUGUACUGAUCAUGACCUGUGCCUUGCCGUUGGGUGUGGUGGUGAUGCUUGGAGCCGCCAUGACUAUCUCGUGAGAAUCCUCAGAACACUUACUUGGCUAAAGAUGGUGGAACAGAAAGUGGAAGGCUCUUGGUCCUUAGUAACAUCAGGGAGUUGCUCAGAAAGCCCAGGGCUGCCCUUUAUUCUGGCAUUCUUAAGACAAAAUGAGUAUCUUUACGGCUAUAGUCACUUUGAACAGAUUUGGUUUUCCGCUACUUGUGGCAGAAGGCAUCCUUACAGAUGUGCCUGUACACAUACAGCUGUGUCCACAUCCACAUCUUCACACACGCAUCCGUUUCCUCUAUGCAGGAUAUGCAUUCAUAAACAUGUAGGGGUUUUUAAAUGUGAUCAGACACUACAUAGUUUCUAACUUGUCUUUUCUUCGUUCCAGUAUGUAAUUAAGACAUCCUUUCUUGUCAGGGUCGAAAAUUCUUAUUUACUAUUUUAAAAGACUGUGUUAUUUUAUGUAUUUGUUUAUUUUUUUAGAUGGAGUCUCAUUCUAGGCUAGAACGCAGUGGUGUGAUCCCGGCUCACUGCAACUUCUGUUUUUCCAGUUUCAAGCAAUUCUCCUGCCUCAGCCUCCUGAGUAGCUGGGACUACAGGCACACACCACCACGCCCAGCUAAUUUUUCUUUUUUUAUUUGUAGUAGAGAUCGGGUUUCACCAUGUUGGCCAGGAUGGUCUCGAUCUCUUGACCUCAUGAUCUGCCCGCCUCCACCUCCCAAAGUGCUGGGAUUACAGACGUGAGCCACCACCCCUGGCCAAGACUGCAUGUUAUUUUACAUUACAUUUGAACUUGAUUUGUUUAACCACUCUCCUAUUACCAGAUGUUUAGGUAGAUGUGAAUUGAUCAUCCAGUCCACAGUAAAACUGCAACCAAUAUUAUAAAACCAAUGUUCUUGCCGUCUCCCAGUAAUUUUCUUAAUCAAUCUGUAGAAAAUAAAGAGUAGUUCAGACAGUUAUAUACAAAGGUGAUUAUUCCGAUAAUUAGCAUAAUAGAGAAACAUGAGAAACGCCUUAAAAGUUCAUUAUAAAAGGACUUGUAGUUUAUUAUCUACAUAUGAUAAACAGCAUGCUACCAUUCAAAAUGGCUUUUAAGAAUAUGUAAUGGCAAAUGAAAAAUUUCACAAAGACAUAAAGCCAAAAAACUACUAAGUAUGAUCAUAUGAAUUAAAAAUAUAUUUAUAGUAUGUAAGGUGAAAAUUGACAAGAUAUGUCUCACAGUGUGUAAACAGCUGUUUUCUCUGGGAGGUGAGAAGAUUAAUGUUUUUAGAUUAAAAAAAAAAAAGUACUAGUCAUUAUGUUCCAAAUCAUCUGACAUGGUCAUUUGGCAUUAUCCAUGUCCUUGUAACAAAUUUUUCUCUUCUAACCCAAAUGUCUCUACUGUUCUCAUCUUAAGACAUGUCACAAAUCAUUAUCCAGAACAUGGGUGUUGAUAACGGCACUGUUCUUGGGGUUUUGCAUAACUUUAAGUAAAGCAAAACCACAUUUCUGGAUCCAUUUUAAAUUUUCAAUCAGCCAGGGCUCCUCUAACGGUUGCGUGUGUUGGGGAAAAUGUGACGUGGUAUGGUAAUAAGUCUCUUGCUUGGGAGUUAAAGUACUCUGGUAAAAUACACGAUAUAUCUCAGAACACUUUGCUUAACUAAGAAGAACAAGGAGACUCCAGAAAAAUACUAAAUGACACAACUGAAGGGCUUAAACACUUACAAGAGAGUCUUGUGGUUAGGAACUUAACUUCUCAAGCCAGUAACAGAACUCCUACCAUUUCUUACUUGCAGACACUUGAUUUUCCCCUGUGUAAAUAGGGCUAAGCAUUUUAUUGCUUUAUGAGUGUCACUAGUACUCUUCACAGCUGUGUGGCAGAGUGGGUCAGCACUGCUGCUGUGGGGACGGACUUCCCCACCACUCUGGUUCCCAGCCCAGUGCUCACCAUCUAGCUAUGCAAUCUUGAGCAGGUGCAUUUAACUUAAUGCAGCCCUCAGUUCUGCAUUAACAGAGGCAAUUAACAAGCGCACUUAGCUUAGAGCUGUGAGCAUUAAAUGAGCUAACAUUUGUUAGUCAACUACAGCAGCACUCUGCACGUAGUCAAUGUCCUGUCAUUGGUACAAAGUGUUAACCCACAAUCAACAGCGCAUUGAACACAGUCCGUAGGUCUCAGUGAGUGUAUAUAACGCACUAUUCUAUCGCCAUCUUCCCCCACAAAGCCCAGGUAACUGCAGAGGACAUCUGGGUGGCGUUGCUGGGACUGGAAUACAUAGAAGAAGAGGGUUAGAAAUGCAUUCAUGAGCACUUCAGUCCCAUUUUACUCACUCCCCUUAGAGGACCCAUCAUCCAAGUUAGUAGGACACCUAGACUCAGAUAUUUAUUAUUUUGUGUCCUCUCAAAGACAUAUUUUUCCUUGAAAUUAACUGUGGUGCUGAUGAACACGACAUGCACCAGACAGAAUCCUGGGGGCUUUUGUUCUCCCUUCUCCCCUACCUGUUUCUCUCUCCUCCCUCGUCCCCCUCCUGCACAACAUUGAGCUCCAGCUGAGCCACUGUCAGGAGGCUGCUCUGCUAAGCAGGCUGUCACAUGUUCUGUUACAAUCAUGUUUUAUUAUAGCUUUCAAAAGAUGACCUCUUAUUCUGCACACUCGUGUUUAUAGAGGACUUCUGGCAUUCUGAAAGGAACCAGAUAGCAGAGUCUCCAAACCCUUUAUUUGCUUCAGCUGAUAACUGCUCUGGCCAGAGACGAAUGCUGUGGUGAUUAUAAGAUGUAAUUUACUACAAAAGACAGUUAAUAUUACUUACAAACCUGUCAUCAGUUCUGGGGAAAUCAGAGCCGAAAUAACGGACGGGACACAUCUGAAUCCACCUAAAUAUCUUGGCCUGAUAGAAUUACAAGUUUAUAGAUUUACCAUUUAGGAAACAAACCCGUUAUGAAACAUUCGUCCUCGCAGACAGACAAUAUAAGUAACAAGCAAGAUUACAUCCUUUUAUGUGGAUCAAGGACAUAGUCAACUUAAGAAAGAAAGAGAAAAAAAAAAUCCCUUAAGGUGAACAUAAAUGCUGCCCUUGUGAAUUAUAACUGGGGAAUUAGAUCUAUGAAAAAGCCUCUAAUAUGGCUAAACAAAGUCCCUCAGGUGAUACUCUGAGUCAGAAAAGUGUGAGAAAAUAUAGCCUCUUAAAUGUGAUUAUAGUCAGAGCUGCAGUUACUCCCCGAGAAAGGACAGAGAAGGUAGAGGAAUGAAAGAAAAGAAAAUGUUAGAAAACUUUUUGUGUCAGACCAGAAAUGAGAGCGUAGCAACAGCUUAGGGAUUGAAGUAACCCGUUUAGCUCAGUUCUGAAGUCUUUGUGCUUUAAAUUGAAGAACAGAAAGGAAUUAGAUAUCCAACUUAGGAUGUAUUUUUUUAAGAUUAUGAAAUGGAAGAGUCUGUUUUUGCUGAAUGAUAAACUGAGCCAGCAUAGAAUUCCGACUGGGGUUAUAAUUUGAAAGAUAUGGCUCUAGUAUUUAAGCUUCUUACACGCUCCCCUCUCACAUGAACUUUCAUUAAAGUUUCUCUCUGCUUGGUUAUAUUUAAUGGAAAUGAAGGUGAGCGUGUCGGUGCUUUUGUUGGUAUUAUGGCCAGAUUCCAAGAGAGUCAUAAAAUCAGUGUUUGCCAUUUACCUCUCCUCUAACAGAAAUUUUAGGAGAACUCUACAUAGAAGAAGCUGUACCGGCAUAAGGAUCCUGGAACAUUCUACUCGUGGUUUUGCAAGCACCCUAUGCCUAGAGUUAGCGCUGGUUAAAGGCUGUAAAAGGAUCAUGGUUCCUCCAAUCUAUCCCCAAUCCGGUCCUUGGUACCACCUCACUCGGGAACUCUCAUACACAUAUUGAAAGCACUUAGAAGAGGCAAGAUCUCUAGGAGAGACCUCAUCUUAAGUCAUUCUCCCAAGUAUAUUUGUUGAGAACAAGGACAAGGAAGGAGAAAAGAUGGAGCUGAGUUUGACCCAAGCAAAUAGGACCUUGCUCAGCCGACCAGCUCUGCCCCAUGGAAUUGAAGAGGAUGUUAAAGAGAGGGCUUAGAGCUUGAAGAGGAUUUUAUUUAUUUAUUUAUUUUUUGAGAUGGAGUUUUGCUCUUGAUACCCAGGCUGGAGUGCAAUGGCACGAUCUCAGCUCACCGCAACCUCCGCCUCCUGGGUUCAGGCAAUUCUCCUGCCUCAGCCUCCCGAGUAGCUGGGAUUACAGGCACGCGCCACCAUGCCCAGCUAAUUUUUUGUAUUUUUAGUAGAGACGGGGUUUCACCAUGUUGACCAGGAUGGUCUCGAUCUCUUGACCUCGUGAUCCGCCCGCCUCGGCCUCCCAAAGUGCUGUGAUUACAGGUGUGAGCCACCGCGCCCGGCCCUGAAGAGGAUUUUAAAAAGAGGAGUUAGGCCGGGCGCGGUGGCUCAAGCCUGUAAUCCCAGCACUUUGGGAGGCCGAGGCGGGUGGAUCACGAGGUCGGCAGAUCGAGACCAUCCUGGUCAACAUGGUGAAACCCCGUCUCUACUAAAAAUUACAAAAAAAUUAGCUGGGCAUGGUGGCGCGUGCCUGUAGUCCCAGCUACUCGGGAGGCUGAGGCAGGAGAAUUGCCUGAACCCAGGAGGCGGAGGUUGCGGUGAGCCGAGAUCGCGCCAUUGCACUCCAGCCUGGGUAACAAGAGCGAAACUCCGUCUCAAAAAAAAAAAAAAAAAAAAAAAAAAAAGAGGAGUUAGAGCCAUGGUUUGUGCAUUUUAAAGCACAGUGGCCUUGACUAAAGUCAAAUCAUUAACUCAGACCCCAUUUGGGUAAAUAAGUCUUCUCUCUUACCAGGUAGGAUGGGAGAUCAAGGAAGGAAGUGCCUAGAAGCAGCUUGGCGGGAGAAGAAGAAAAGCCUUCCAUUUCUCUCCUUUCCCGCCAUUAUUCAUGUAUCCCCUAAGUUGUUCAUUGCCCAUUUUUCUAUCUUCUUUGGAGAAAUGUCUGUUCAAACCCUUUGCUCAUUUUUUUUAGUUGGUUUGUUGCUCGUUGUUGCUACUGUUGAAUUUUAGGAGUUAUUUAUAUGUUCUGGGUGUUGAUCCAUGAUCACGUAGAUGAUUGGCAAAUAUUCUUUCCCAUUCUGUGGGUCGCCUUUUCACUCUUUUAAUUGUAUCUUUUGAUAUGCAGAAGUUUUCCGUUUUGAUAAAGUCUCAUUUAUUCUUUUUGCUUUUUGUUGUCUGUACUUUUUGUCCUCACUGUUUACAAGGAAAACAGCGAACUGUUUAUUUGUCUGAGUAGAGGAUGCUCUCUCUAGAGCAAGAAGGGAAGGAGGUGAAUCUCAUGACUCAGUGGUUAAUCCUCCAGCUAGAAGGAGAGAGGAAUCAGUCUGUGCUGAAACCCCAACUGCUGACCUCCAAGAUGUCCUGGUGUUCUUACAGAAAGGCCACCUGCAGGACAGGGAUGUGUGUGCUGCUGGGAGGCCAGGCAGGGACUCCUGGGAAAGCCUCUUCCUGGCUCCAGUUCCAUUUGGCUCAUCUCCAAGGUGGCCAGGUACUCACUGAUGCAUGGACAGCUCAUAUGUUCAUCUGUGAAUCAUGUCCAGACUCAAGAUGAGCUGGAAGUGCAAUUUUUUCCUUCCACUUGCUGUUGUUUCGCUUCUGUGUGUUCCUCUUGCUAUCAUUUAGCACCUAGAAAAAUGUAGACUUCAAGAACAAAAAGACAGCUGACGCUCACCCCCCAUUAUUACAUGCAAAUAAAAUUACUGAGACCUGGAGUGCUUAACGCUUGCCCAGAUUCCUGUCACUGAUAAAACUAAAGCUGGAGAUUGGGAAUCCUGACUUGAGCCGCUGCUCUCACCAUCCUUUUCUAUCAUCAGGGCCCCCAGGGAAAAAGAAGUUUCACAAUUAUAUUAAAUUCAGUAAGUAUUUACUAUCAUUGUCUACUCUUUAUUCUAGUAGCGAAGAGCUAAAAGUUGCAAAUGGAAACUGAUCAUCCCCAUUGUGGUCUUAGCUGAAUUAUUCUUUGCAUGAUCUAAAGAGAGGCCACAGAAAGAUCUGAAUGGCAGCAUUCCUUAGGAACAAGAUUCAACCAACUCACUGGUCUCAGAGCCAAGAAUAUGGCAGAACUCAGUGGUCUAAAUGGGAGACCGGCCCCAGGAAAAUGCAACCCACAUUGCGGGAGCUUCUGUUUGUUUGUUUUUUCCAUUAGAACCUGGAAAUCCGAGUCUUGCCGGAAAUAGCUCAAUUUUUACAGCUUAAGGAUUUAAAUGAAUCUUUUCCUUAAAAUUUAACAUAAAGGCCACCAUCUUCUGCACAAAACAAAAAUCUGUUUGUGUUAUCAAAACGGACUGUUGAUUUAAGCACCUUGCUUUUGCCUUAGAUCAGAGCCCUCAAACACAUUGGAAUCAUCUGGAGAGCUUUACGAUACACCCAUGCAUUGGCCCCACUCCAGACCACAUGAUUCUGAGCCUCUUAGGGUAGGUUCUGGGCAGGAGGACUUGAGAAAGCGCCCUCGGUAACCCCCGUGGGCACCCAGGGGUUAUGUACCACCAGGCUGACAGUGGUGUGAGCAGUGAGGAUCCAGCCCCAACCCCCUUCUUUCCCAUGGCUAAGGACAUCCGGACCGUGAUUGCUGGACAUCAGGAAGACCUUGAGAUUAGGGUUAACAUCUGGAAAAUUGGCUGCCCUUUUUAUUUCUCGUCCUGCUGUUUGGGCAUUUUAUAGACACAGACAGAUGUCCCUGUGACCCCGUUUGCCAUGAGUCACUUCUGUAGAGUUUUGAUCCCACGCUUUGUGAUACAUCACAGCUCCGGGGAGAAGGGGCUGUCCAGUGAAGUGUGUCUGUGGCUUCUUCCCUCUGAUCUCCUUUUCUUCUCCCAGCCUUGGGAGUUCUGCAGGCAAAUGUGGUCCUUUCAUGUGGCUACUUUGGUCUUUGGGGGACUUUGAAGGUUUGUCUUUGAAACACCGAGAUCCCUUUUUGGUUUCUUCCUUUUUCCCUGGUCUGCUUCUCUCCACUCCUCUUGCUGUUUGCAUAAUCCCUUCACCUUUGCAGGCCAGCUUUUCAGAGUUACUGGGAUCAACCCAGCAAUUCGUACUGGGGGUAAAAAAGGUGUGGACAGGGAGCCUCUGUUUUGGUGGGGGGAAAAACAAACUCCAUAAAUCUUAUUGUUGAUCUUCUUACAUGUGAUAAUAGCAUUUUCCUAUUUUUUAAAUUGAUUUUUUUUUUUUUGAGACAGUGUCUUGCUCUGUUGCCAGGCUGGAGUGCAAUGGCACAGUCUUGGCUCACUGCAACCUCUACCUCCCAGGUUCAAGCAAUUCUCCUGCCUUGGCCUCAUGAGUAGCUGGGACUGCAGGUACACACCACCACAUCUGGCUAAUUUUUGUAUUCUUUUUUUCUUUAGAGAAGGGGUUUCACCUUAUUGGCCAGGAUGGUCUUGAUCUCUUGACCUCAUGAUCCGCCCACUUCAGCCUCCCUAAAGGCUGGGAUUACAGGCGUGAGAUGCCACACCUGGCUAAAUUUAAUUUUUUUAAGAGAUGAGUGUCUUGCUUUGUUGCCUCAAUGGGACUUUAAUUCUUGGACUCAAGUGAUCUUCCCAUGUCGGCCUCCUGAGUAGCUGUGCAUUCUUGUUCUGUAACAAAGUGUCCAUAAUUUCCAGUGGCACAAUUGGAUUAUAAAGUAAAGCUUAAAUGAUAGGAACUCUGGAGUUGCUUACAAUAUUUUCGAAAGUAAAUGAUCACCCGCCUUUGGGAGGCCGAGGUGGGUGGAUCACGAGGUCAAUAGAUCAAGACCAUCCUGGUCAAUAUAGUGAAACCCCGUCUCUACUAAAAAUACAAAAAAUUAGCUGGGCAUGGAGGCACACGCCUCAGGAGGCUGAGGCAGGAGAAUUGCCUGAACCCAGGAGGCGGAGGUUGCGGUGAGCUGAGAUGGUGCCAUUGCACUCCAGCCUGGGUAACAAGAGCGAAACUCCGUCUCAAAAAAAAAAAAAAAAGUAAAUGAAUAGAUAAAUAGCAACUUAAAGCAAUUGUAGUAAGCUCUUCAUUACUGAGUAUAUAGGACCCAUUAUAUAAUAUGUUCUACUUUUGUGCAUAUUGAAACUUUAUGUGUACACAUACGCACAUACACAUGUAAUUCUGAGGCCUAUAAUAUUCUACUGUUCAAUAGGAAUAUGUGAUUUCAAGAUUCUAUGAUUCUUUCUUUCUUACAAAUCCACUAGUGCUUGAGAUUGGUGUAACUGAAUGAAUAGAUGACUCUGUCAAAAGUAAAUGAGGUUGGGCCCUGGUGGCACAUACCUGUCAUCUCAGCAGUUUGAGAGGCUGAGGAGGCAGAUUACUUGAGCCCAGAACUUGAGACCAGUUUAGGCAACAUGGCAAAACCCCAUCACUACCAAAAGAAGUAAAAUUAUAUCUAUAUCUAUAUCUAUAGGUAGAGAGAAAGAGAGUGUGUGUGUGUAUAUAUGUAAAUGUACAUACACAGGCACGUUGUGUGUAUUUACCUACAUACACACACUCAGAUUAGCUGGGAAUGGUGGUAUACCCUUGUAGCCCCACCUGCUUAGGAAGCUGAGGUUGGAGUGUCGCUUAAGCUCCAGAAGUCGAGGCUAUGGUGAAAUGUGUUCAAACCACUGCACUAUAGCCUGGGUGACAGAGCAAUACCCUGUCUCAAAAUACAAUAAAACAAUUUAUAAUUCAUAAUAAAACCAAUUUUAUAAUAAUGCAUAAUUUAUAGUGAAAUUUAUAAUAAAACUAGUACAUACAAUUUAUAAUUUACAGUAAAGCCAAUACAUACAAUUAGGAAAAGCAAAAACAGACCACAUGCCAUCUCAGUUCCACUCAAUGACUUAGCAUGUCAGCUUUCACAGUUAUCUUUCUGGCAUUUGUCUUAUUGCUGUACCUAUCGUUUGGAGUUUUGCUUUAUUUGUUUAUGAUAUUAUCAGGCACAGACUGUGAACUGUAUCUUGCUUUGUGGCAAUAUUAGCUUUCUGGCUGCUUUGAAUUCAUGGUCUUAAUAAGCCUCAAAGAGGGAAAUCAGAAGUGAUAGCAUUUUGCCCAAAUAGAAGCGUCCAGCGGAUUUGUCAUCAGCGUGAUUGGAAUGAAUCUCUCAUUUUUGCUUGCGCUGCUGCUUCGUAUAUAGUCACUUCAAGUAAAGGGUGAAAAGUUAGUACUCAUUCACUGUUCAGGAAAUAUUUCUGGGAUGUCGGCUCCCUGUGAGCCUCUGGGCAGAGCACAGACGCUAUGGCAGUAACAGGAGACUAUAGUCCUUGUGUUCAUGGAGCUUACAUUCAGAUGGACAUUGCAUUAUGAAACAACACAUGGGAAGCUAUACUUGAAAUAUACGUCUUGGCUGGACACGGUGGUUCACACCUGUCAUCCCAGCACUUCAGGAGUCUGAGGCGGGUGGAUCACUUGAGGUCAGGAGUUCAAGAUCAGCCUGGCCAACAUGGUGAAACCCCGUCUCUAACAAAAUCACAAAAAUUAGCUGGAUAUGGUGGUGGGUGCCUGUAGUCCCAGCUACUUGGGAGGCUGAGACAGGAGAAUCACUUCAAACCAGGAGGCAGAGGUUGCAGUGAGCUAGGAUCACACUACUAUAUUCCAGCCUGGGCAACAGAGCAAGGCUCCAUCUCAAAAAAGAAAAAAAAAAAAAAAAAGAAAUAUACAUCUUCAAAUGCUGAAUGUAUUUACA